UAAUUUGAAAAGAGUUUUAUAGAAAGGAGAACGCGGAGUGCCGGGUGGCUGGAAGAGGCGGAAGAGCUCAUCAUGUCAAUGCCAGAAAAGCCUAAUUGGGUACGGACACAUGGUGACCUGACGAGAGGGAACCUUGCGUUCAAGCACUUUACUGAACUGGAACCAAUGUCUAGUACGGAAAUUAACAAUGAAUGUGUGAAUAACAUCAUUCUUUUGAUCAAUAAGAAGGAAAUUUGGGUAGUACGGAAUGGUAAAAUGCUUGACCAUCUAAAUGUUUUUUUUUCUUUUCUAAGCUACUUAGUACUACAUUUUAGUGAUGUUCUUCUUCAUUUUAUAAAUGCGAGAUUUUAGACUUGAAUUUCAUGAAUAUCGAAUUCGAUAAUAAUUUUACAACCACCUAAUGUAAAUGCAUCUACAGUUAUAAACACGACUUCUUCUAUAUUAUUAUAAUAGUUUCGAACCGAAUCCUCUAUAAAAAUUGUAAAUAUACCUUUCUAUCAAAAGAAACAAAAAUCCCUGGUACAGAAUAGAAAACAGACGGUUGUUAAAAAAUGCAGCCGAUUAAGCGCAUAAAAAUACAUCAAAUACGAUACAAAUACGGUAGAAAUACGAAUACGCACACAACAAAGAAAGCCCGUCCUUUUCGUAAGGUUCUCUUCAACGUUACUCUCUUUCGGUUUCUCAAUUUGGGAUUUCCAGAUCCGAACAACGAAAGGUGAAAGUUUCUUUUUUCUGUUUAAAUAUUGUUCCUUUUUGUGUGAAUUUCGAUUCCCAAUUGUGAAUUUUAGGGUUUUUCUGAUUGGUGUCUUCUCUCUUUUGAUUAUUCUGUAGUUGUUUUCCCCCAAUUUACUUUAUUUUUUUUUUUUUAUUUUAUAUUUGAUUGGGGGUAAGACCAUCUCCAACCCUUGGGUUAAAAGCCAAAUUUUUUUAGCCCGAAAAAUUUAGCUUUUAACCCAGAAACAUCUUUUCUGCUUCAACCCUUCUACCCUAAAAUUUUAGCCCGGAAUUAUUAAAGAAUGAAAUUAGCCUAAAUUUUUUUCUUAAAUCAAUUUUUUUUUUUUUAAAUAUGUAGAUUAUUGUAAAUUAAUUUUAUAAACAUUUUAAUCUAAAAAUAUUUAAAUUCCGAUAAACAUUUCACAUUUAGCCCGGGGGGAAAGCUUGGGGGUAUUUGGCCCAGAGAUAGCAUUUGGCAUUUAGCCUAAAAUUUUAGUAUGGGUUGGAGAGUGUUUGGGGGGGGGUAAUUUGGCUUUUAGCCCAGAGUUGGAGAUGGUCUAAGGGUAAAUAUUGUUCCAAUUUACUUUCAGAAUUUCACCUUUUGUUUUUAUUUUAUUUUAAUAAGGGUAUGUUAUCAAUGAUGCCGCCAAAAUUAAUGUUUUAAUUUUUAGGUGUUAAGAAGUAAUUUGGUCACCCUGGUAAGUUUUGUAAUUUUAUAUAAGGAGAUCAUUUUUUGUUGGAUGUGGCAAAUUUGUAUGUCUACAAGUGCCAUUUUUGCAUAGUCUGAGAUACUAAGUGUUACACGAUUCAUGAUAUUGAAUUUCCAUACAUGGUAACUCAGUAACAUAUGUUGUGUAGUCGAGCGCAUGCAUGACAUAGUUGUUUUCAUUCUCCCUUCUUGUUGUGAUUCUUAUUGUGUGAACAUCGAUAUGGUUGUUAUGGUUUUUCUGAUUCUUUUCUUCUCAGCCUUAUAUUUUAAUCAGGUUUUUGGAGUUUAUUUUAGUUUCAAAAUUUUUAUUGGCUAAUGCACGCGUUGAUUAAACAUAUUCCUGAAACAAGUUGCUCCAAGCAUGGAAUAUCAUGAAUUUCAUUUGCAUGUUUUAUCUGAUUAUUCAUUCAUAGUUAUAAGUAAUGAUACAACAACAUGAGUAGUUGAUUCCUUUUUUUUUUCUUUGUUAUGUAAUUAUUUAUUCAUCAAGUUAGAAGGUCAACCUGUUCACAUCUUGGUGUUUGCAAUAUAUGUUGAUCUAUAGUGUUGAUUUGUAUGCUAAUUCUUAAGUAACUGGCUUGAACUUUUGUUGGUGCUAGUUGUGGCAUUGUUGGGAAGAAUAUGUCCCAUUACGCUGGUUAUGUGGAGGAUGAAUACGAAAUGGAAGAUGUAGACGAUGAUAUGGAUGAUGAAUUUCGCGGUAGAGAAAUGGGCGGCUCAGAUUCUGAUGUUGAUGAAUAUGACUACUCGGUUUGUGAUAUACUUGCAUGUCUUACUAGAUUUGUCAAAUAUUCACUGCUUUAAGAAACUAUUUAUGUAUAACACAAUUUUACGAUAUGUCUUUUAUGCAUUCAAAUUAUUCAAAGUUGGUAGGAGCAUUUCACUUUUCAUGUUAACUGUGGUUAGUUUUGUAUAGCUGGGACUAAUAUGUGGAUCUUGUGCAGAAUAGUAAAGUAGCUGAUACAACUGCUGCUCAAGCAGGAAAAGGAAAGAAGACAUCCAAGGCAUUCCUUGGGAUAGACUUAGCAUUACUAGAGAGAAAUAGCGACAUACUAGGUUUGAACAAUACAAGAAUUAUGAGAGUAUUCCUAAUUCUGGAGAAGGAUCAGGGAAGGUAAAUAACCACUGUUUUCCACUUUUUUUUUUAUUUGUUAUAUACUUGAUCGAUGCUAGAGACGUGGCACAGAACCGAGUGCAAUGACAUUCUAGGAUUCAUACAGCCAACCCCACUUAGUGGGAAAAGGCUUUGUUGUUGUUGUAUACUUGAUCGAUGCUGAAGUGUCAAUUUGAACUGGGAAGAGUAACUUGAUGUUGACUUUUUCCUCUUUGGUAUACAGGAUUGCAAAGAUACAAAGAAAGGAUCUGUAUAUUAUGAGUUCAGACGAAGUACUAGAUCAGUGAAAUCAACCAUUCUUCAUUUUCAGGUGUGCUGGGUGCAAGCUUGCCUUAUUACUUCUUGGCUAUUUUCUGCAUACACCACACUUAGUGGGAUAAGGCUUUGUUGUUGUUGUUUGUAAAUCUUUGGAUGAAAUUUUCUCAAUCGCAUAUCAUAGAACUGAUAAGACUUAUAUUUACUGGCUUGACUUGUUACCUGGGGUGAGCUUUUGCUUGCAGUGCCCCUUACAAUUGACAGACUCAUAUGGUUUAUCUUUGCUUGGUAAUGCAGUUGCGUAACCUGGUCUGGGCUACUUCCAAGCAUGAUGUCUACCUGAUGUCACAUUUUUCUGUCAUUCAUUGGUCUUCAUUAAGUUGCACAAAGUCUGAGGUUCUCAAUGUUUCUGGACAUGUGGCACCAUCGGAGGUAAGUGUUUUUUAGAUAACUUUUGUUCAAUAACCAAGUCAUUUUUGGGAACUGAUCUUUCCAUUCUUCCAUGUAGAAACAUUCUGGAAGUCUCUUGGAGGGAUUUACGAGGACUCAAGUUAGUACUCUUGCUGUAAAAGAUAAGUUGCUAGUUGCUGGAGGAUUCCAGGGUGAACUUAUUUGCAAGGUGAGUUACAAAUAAUUGAAUUAACUAAGUAAGCAAAUAAAUGAAUGAGUAUUUAUUGCACAGUUGCAUACCUCUUGUGCUUAUGGUGUCAACAUGGCUUGGUUUGCACUUAUCAGUUGUGACCUUGUACAUGGUUCACCUGGACCGUAGGGGUGGUACCGGAACACACAUGUUAUUUAUUCUUUGUUUUAGCUCUAUGGGUGCUACUCCAUUCCAGAUGGAUCUUCUGGAUGACUUAACCUUCAAACUUCUGCUAUCAGUGUCCAUUAUAUGAUUGACAAGACCUUUGAUACACUUGACUACAUUCUGUAUAUGGAUUCUGUCAUUCGGCUGUGUCCACAAGAUCCCUUUUAGAUUCAUUUUUUUCCCUUUGAAGAACUAAUAAAGAGAAAAGCUCAAUGCUGACAGAUUUAUCUUAUCUUUGACUGCUCUGCAGCAUCUUGAUCGGCCUGGAGUCAGCUUUUGUUCAAGGACAACUAAUGCAAUAACAAAUGCUGUUGAGAUUUAUGAUAGUCCUAGGUACUUUUUUUUUCCUUCAUGAGAUCGGGACUUCUCAUUUCCAAAUUCCAAUCAUGAACCCAACUGAUAUAAUCCCCUUGAAUUUCGCAGCGGGGCAGUUCACUUUACAGCCUCUAAUAAUGACUGUGGAGUCAGAGACUUUGACGUGGAGAAAUUUCAGCUUACUAAGCAUUUCCGUUAUCCUUGGCCUGUGAAUGUGAGUCUACCUCAUGUCAUCCAAUGCUGAUUUUCAUUGGGUCACAUUUUACUUGUGAUCACUUAAUGCUUCUUUUAGUCAGUUUUACUUAACUUCGAGGCACCUCUAUGCUUUGUUGGCAGCAUACUUCUCUGAGUCCUGAUGGUAAACUUCUUGUGAUUGUUGGAGACAAUCCGGAAGGGAUGUUGGUAAACUCUCAAACUGGAAAGGUAUGUAUCUCAGACUUUGACAGACUUCCUGAGCUAGGAAAGGACGGUGUGCUGAUUUGUAUGAGUUUCUUUUGCAGACGGUGAUGUCUUUAAGUGGGCACUUGGAUUUCUCCUUCGCAUCAGCAUGGCAUCCUGAUGGUAUGACCUUUGCUACUGGGAACCAGGACAAAACCUGCCGGAUUUGGGAUGUUCGAAACCUUUCCAAGUCAGUUGCUGUUUUGAAGGGGAACCUUGGAGCUAUUCGGUCAAUCCGGUAUACUUCCGAUGGUCAGUAUAUGAUGAUGGCAGAGCCAGCGGAUUUUGUGCAUGUCUAUGAUGUGAAAAGUGGGUAUGAAAAGGAACAGGAGAUUGAUUUCUUUGGUGAGAUAUCUGGCAUAUCAUUCAGUCCGGACACAGAGUCGCUUUUUAUUGGAGUGUGGGAUCGUACAUACGGUAGUCUUCUUGAGUAUGGCCGAAGCCGGAACUACUCUUACCCUGGUGUUAAGAAGUAAUUUGGUUACCCUGGUUAUGUUGUCGGAUGUGGCAAGUUUUGUAAUUUUAUAUAAGGUCAUUUUUGUUGGAUGUGGCAAAGUUUGUAUGCAUACAAGUGCGAUUUUUGCAUAGUCCCAAAUACCAAGUGUUACACGAUUCAUGAUAUUGAAUUUCCAUGCAUGGUAACUCAGCGACAUAUGUUGUGUAGUUGAGCGCAUGCAUGACAUAGUUGGUUUUCCCGAUUCUUUUCUUCUCUGCCGUAUAUUUUAAUCAGGUUCCUGAAGUUUAUUUUAGUUUCUAAUUUUUAUUGCCUAAUGCACGUGUUAAUUAAACAUAUUCCAGCAAACAAGUUGCUCCAAGCACGGAAUAUAAUGAAUUUCAUUUGCAUGCUUUAUCUGAUUAUCCAUUCAUAGUUAUAAGUUAUGACACAACAGCAUGAGUAGUUGAUUCCGUUUUAUAUAUGGCGUCUAUGGCAGAGACAGCAGGGACAUCCAUGUCAAAAAGUACUUUGUAUAUGGCGUCUAUGGAUUCUUUGAGUUGCCGUCGCGAUGUUUUAGCAGAUUCAGUAUCUUGCAUAAAAAUAAGGCUUAAAUGUUAAAAUCGUCCUUGUGUUUUAAUCAUUAAGUCAAUUUAGUCCAUGUGUUUUCAAUUUAGCCAAUUUGGUCCUUGUGUUUUAGUCAUUGGGUCAAUUUAGUUCCUGUGUUUUCAAUUUGGCCAAUUUGGUCCUUGUGUUUAUCUCCGUUAGCCAAUUAAGGACAUUUUAUCCAAUUUUCGAAAAUAAAAUUUAUAAAUUAUUAUAAACUUAUUUAUAAAAUUAUUUAUUUGAUUUAAAAUAUUUAAAAAAAUGAACUAAAAUUAAAAAUAAAAAAAAAUUCUCCUCCCAACUCUCCAACCUCCUCCCUAACAUUAAAAUAAAUGGGUCUGAUUUAAUAAUUCGGUGCUUAUUUAAUACAAGGCUUAAAUGUCAAAAUAGUCUAUGUGUUAUAGCCAUAUGACCAAUUUAGUCUCCGUGUUUUUAUUUGGCUAAUUUAGUCAUCAUGUUUGUCCAUGUUAGCCAAUUAAGGACAUUUCAUUCAAUCUCUUUUAAAAAAUUCAUAAGAAAAAUUAUAUGAGAUAUAAUUACCCUUUCUCUUUACAGAAAAAUGAAAGUCAAUGAGAAAUAACACAUAUAAGAGAUAAACUUCCAAUCUGAAAAAUGAUUAAGGUUGUGACAUAGAAGGGAGAGGGGGUAAUGUUAGGGAGGAGGUCAGAGAGUUGGGAGGAGAUAUAUUUUUUUUAAUUUUUAAAUAUUUUAAAUCAAAUAAAUAAUUUUAUAAAUAAGUUUAUAAUAAUUUAUAAUAUAUUUUUUUCAAAAAUUGGAUAAAAUGUCCUUAAUUGGCUAACGGAGAUAAACACAAGGACCAAAUUGGCCAAAUUGAAAACAUAGGGACUAAAUUGACUCAAUGACUAAAACACAAGGACCAUUUUAACAUUUAAGCCUAAAAAUAAGGAAAAAAAAUUAGCACAAAAGGUGGAUGGGGACAAUACCUUGUGAAGGAUAACAUGACAGAGAGAAUUGAUGCAAUGCAAUGCAACCAAUCUAAUUUAUAACUCUAGACUCUAGGGUAGCAGCUCACCAUCAUAAUGGCAGAUUGGUAUAGACAAGACCACGGGCUGCGAAGAUGGCUUCGCCUGCAUCCUAAGAAGAAACACAAUCACAUAUCAGCUAUACCUGCUAUCAAAGAUUCAAAGGCAUCAAUGUAAACCAGCAUGUCACAUGAUAAUGAAGGUAGUGCAAUUUCGUGUAUUGUUUUAAAUUGAAAUUUUAGCGAAAGUAUCUUAAAUGUGCUCACUUGUAUUUAAGUUAUUGAACAUGCAGAUUGAAUAAAGAAAUCUAUCUAAUUAACUGAGAGAAAGAGGAUUGCAUAAAAAAAAAACAGCUAAAAGCUUCUUCAACUAUGAAGUUGCUUGACUAAUACAUCGUAUUAAUGAAAACUAAAAUGGUGGAGUCUACAGUACAUCGGCGACUCAACAUUACCAAAUUCUUGCAAGUCAGACCACUUCACCAAAAAGGUUGCUGACCGGCCUGAUGGACAUGCGUAUUUGCUCCAGCCAAACUUGCAAUAGCCAGAGCCCCCUUCCCAAGAAAUGUAAAGAUAAAAUGAGGGAAUAGUUUAUGUCGGAGCUAGAUAAACUCCAAUGUUGGCUAACAAAGCAAAAUCAUAACUCCACUCAUAUUAUUAUGGAUAAUAGUGAUGCUAAAACAUUGAAUCGCUAUUGUUAGCCUUCCGAAACAUAAAUAUUGUUAAUGCGUAAGGAGGUCGGAGACGCUCACCGUCAAUGAUAACAGAACCAAGAACUUGAACUCGUUGACCAUAGAUACCCAUGUAGGACAACUGGGGACUCUCACCCGAGAAUGUUCUUCAACAAAAAUAAUAUUUGAAUAAGCUCGGCCAUUAAACUCCAACCACAAUUGAAUGAACAAGCACCAAACAACAUUUACAUUAUUUCAGCAUCAAAGAACACAUUCACUAGGCAAGUCCAUGGUUUUCUCACCAAAACAAUGGCGUAACGUUUUCUCCAAGAUACUAACACUCAAUUUCAAUAAUCACAAGUUUUUAUAUUUUACCGCUUGACAUGCUUUAUGUUUGAACUGAGCACUAAUUUGAAUUGAAGUUAGGGAAAUUUUAUUUAAACUCAUCUAACAUAUUUAUAUACCCAAUUUACUCUUUUAAUUUAUUUGAUUUUUAACUAAACUAUUAAUAUCUCUUUAAACUCAAAUUUAAUACCUAAUAUACCCUCAUAAACCCAAUUCAAUAUGUGGAUUUAUUUUUACUCCCAUUAAAUUUUUAACUCAAAAGUUGCCGGCUGUGCCACUUGACUACUGAAUAGCUAUCACCAAAUAAGCUCAUUGAUUCUUCAACAGAUGUAAGAUUGAAUCCGUGAAUCCGUUAUUCCACUGUAACUUCCUUCUUCCUCUUCCCCUCUUCCUGUUGCCGACGAACACAGAAAAGUUAGAGAGAGAAAGAUGGAGAGAGAAAGAUAGGUAAAGGGAGAUGGCGUUGGACUGGUCUUGCUCCCAAGUAAAAAUGGCUUCCACGGAGGGUAUAGUACCAAUAACCAGGGCUUUUCUCGCUUCCUACUACGACACAUACCAAUUCCCCCCUCUCAAACGACAUCGCUCGCCUCUCAGCCGAGAUUCGAUCCUUCACCGCCGACUUGCUCCGCCACUCUCCGGCGGCUCAAGGUCAUCGUAAUUUCAAAACCCUUUUGAAGAUUUUACAUAUUUUUGCUAAAGUGAUCAACUUUUUCCAAUUUUUUGCUUGCAAUCUAAAAAAUUCAAUAUCUUGCAUAGUGAAUGAAUCGAAUGGGUUUAAUUUUUAAGCGAGGAGAGAUUGUUAGUCAGUGAAUUGGAUAGUGAACCUCCCCAUAAAGUCGACAAAAACAUGUGGAAGAAUCAAGAGCAUAUGGAAGAGAUACUAUUUUUGCUUGAAAAACCCUAGGGGUGGGUUCAAAAACCGAAAACCAAACCGAACCGAGGCCGAAAAAAACCGAACCGAAAAAACACCGAACUGAAACUGUCAAACCGAACCGAACCGAAUCUGACCGGUUCGGUUUCGGUUGUUGAGGUUCGGAAACCGAACCGAACCGAUAUAUAUAUAUAUAUAUAUAUUUAAUUAUUUUUUUAAAUAUUAUAAAUAGUUUAGUCAUACAAUCAUAACAAAACAUACCUUGUUGCUAAGUUGGUUUCGGUGAACUUUUUCAAGCCCCAACACACGGGUUCGAACCUCUAGGAUGUCUGAGAUGUUUUUUAAUUUUUUUUGGAGAACUUAACAAAACCCUUUAACCCUAGCCACUAGCAGCCAUACCUUUUCAGAUUGAUGUUUCAUUCCCUUCCUCUCUCUCUCGUUCCCUGCCUCUUCUCCUCCAGUGUAACCCUAACCCAGCGCAGCCGAGCCUCAUCUCUCUCUCGCUCUGUCUCUCUCGUUCCCUGCCUCUUCUCCUCCAGUGUAACCCUAACCCACGACGGCGCGACCCUUUUCCCUUAUCCCUCUCCUCUGUACUCUGGACCCUCUCUCCUUCCUUCCCAACUCCGCCGCUCUUCCGCUUCGUCUUUUUCCUUCACAGCGACCUGCAAGUUGCGUGUGUGGAAACCCUCAUGGUUUGAUCAAGAAGUACGGCCUCAUGUGCUGCAGGCAGUGCUUCUGCAGCAAUGCCAAGGAAAUCGGCUUCAUCAAGGUAAAGGCUUCGAGAACCCUUAGCUACUGAUCGUGUUCUGAUUCCGUUUACUGAGCUGAGAUUACACCGUUUCCACAAUGUAAUUGGGUUUCAUUUUUCGAACUUUUUGUUUGCAGUACCGUUAAGUGGCUGAUAUUCAAACAUUCCAGGAGUCGAUGAUUUGGCCCAAGAUAAGUACUAGUAGUAGUGGUUUCUGAGUUCUCAUCAACUUUUAAGAAGAUAUUUUUGUUUUAGCUGAUCUGCUGUUGAACUUGAAUUGGUUGUCAGACUUAAGAAUAUUUGUUAUUAAUGAAUUAAAGUUUGAUUUAUGUUCUCUUUUGUGUGGUUGUUUGUUGUUUCUCUUGUUCUUUUCUUGGUCAUCUCGAGUUGCUUGCUUAGCAUUCCUUGGUUCCGAAGAGAUUUUUGCUUAACAAUCUAUCUAUUAUUGAACUUGAAACUGGCAGUAAGUGGUUAUCCACAUUCUAUGUGUAGUGUUUGUUUUGAAAGUGAUGUACCGUGUUCUUGCUAUGUUCUUUAGGCUGUAGUUAUGAUGCAGACUAAAGUAGUUUAAGCGGAUGGGAAGGCUUGAGGAAACACAUGAGGAUUUGACAUAUGAUCACCCCUUGCACUUGCUUUAAUUGCAGAGGAAUUCAUUGCUUUUAUGGUUGCCACUACCAAAAUUUAGUAAUCUAUCAACAGUGGCAAGAUGAUUGACAUUACCAUUUCAUUUCUUAUCAGAUUAAUUGGUUGAAAUUUUAGAUUAUUUGGUUGAAAUUUGAAAUAUAUUUUAGAUUGCAUUGGUGAGGAUUUGUAGUAGUGGCAAGAUGAUUGACAUUACCAUUUCUUCUUCUGUAGUAUUUGCACCUCCUUCUGAUGGUAAACUUUAUAACCAAAGGGAUGAUGGACUUCCCAUUGACAUUAAAUUACCUGUUAAGCACAUCUUGAUGGGUCUAUCUUAUGUUUAUGCACUUCUAUUUGCAUUCUUGAUGGGUCUAUCUUAUGUUGGGGUUGUUUUGCAUUUGUUGGAGGAAAAAAAAAAAAAAAAAAAAAACCGAAACCGAACCGAAAAAACCGAACCGAAAAAAAUUUGGGCCGAACCGAACCGAACCGAAAUUUCGGUUUGGUUUCGGUUUUGGCAAAAAACCGAACCGAUUAGAACCGAACCCAGCCCUAAAAAACCCCAUUGGCCUCAAACUGUAAGUCUAAGCUAAGUUAAUGUACGGUUUAAUUAUAUUGUUUGGGUUUAUUGAUAAAUUUGAGUUUUAUUAUUAAUUUUAUUUUGUACUUAAUAGUAAUUAUGCAAUAGGAUAAAAUAGACAAUUAACAUUCAAAAUUUUAAGUUGGGUGUAAAAAGAAGUUGUAUAGGUUUAAAUAAAAUUUCCCUUGAAAUUAUUAUACAUUUAAUUGAAUCCCAAAAGUGAGAUGUUUUAGCUGAGUAGAUAAAAUUGAAAAAAAAGAAAAGAAUUAAGAAAAAUUUAAAAAUGAGAAGUGGGAAAUGCUCGAAAUUGAGCAUACUAUAAUGAGUUUCCGAGAAAACACUAGAUCCCCAAAAUACCGUUGCCUACAAUAACAUAAUCAGAUGUUUUGUUCAACCAGAUCCUCUCAGGAUCUUUUUGAUGAGGAUCAUAGAGAUUCGUGAAUCGUGUCUAUUUAUCGUACAUAGUACAAUUAAUUUUUAUCAAGUACUAUUUGUGUUUAAUUUUAAAUAAAAAUAUUUAAAAUGAUUCUGAAUUGAUAUUUUUGCCCAUGUUUUAACUGUUAUUUAUUUAUUUAUUUAUUUUUAACAAACAAUAUAUCUACACUUACUUUUGGGUAUUGAUCAAAUAUAGCAAAAAAUUAACCUUUAAUUUUAAAAAUGUCAGUUUUUAUAAAAACUUUCAAAUAUAUACAAAAUCUCAUUUAAGUAGACGCAAAUACCCUCAAAUUUAAAAUGCAAAUAAACUAAAAAAUCAAAACCCUAGACUUAAGAAAUGGUGGUGACCUGUAUAUAGUAGGAAACGGUAAAGACUUGUGCAGCCCUAAACAACGAUGAUUGUAUUUUUUUGCAUUGCUUCCCAUCAACUUUUUCUCUUUGCUUUUGUCGAUUCUACGUUUUCUCUUUGCUUUUGUUGUUUCUUCUUCAAUUGAAUAUUUAUUAAAGAAUGAAUUGUCAAUAGUAACGCUAUUUAUCUCAAUUUUCCUUUGGUAUGAAGCAAUCUCUUUGAAAUCUGUGAGUCUUCGACUGUAAUUGUUUCAUAUGUGCAUUUCACUUACUGAGAAUAUUCUAUGAAAGCAGUUCGUGCAAUUAUCUAUUUCUAUAAUAACUUGUUUGUGCAAAGAUUCAUGUUUCCAGCUAAUAAUGUACAUAACAAACCUCCAUUUAAUUGUAAAAGUUAUGUCAUGCCUAUUAAAGAUAAUCAAAUAGAACGUAUUCAUGUCUAUUCGAUUAUACUGAAAAAAGCAUGGAAAAGUUUUUACUAUUCAAUUAUAUUGAAUAAGCCUGGAAAAUUUUUGUCAUGUCUUAAUUAGGUAGAUUAAAAGAUGUAAAAAAAGCCUUUAGGGAACAAAGUCGACUAUAUUAUAUUUUUCCAACCUGGGGAUUGUCCUUAUUGCUGAGAAUUUGAAUGAUGUACUAAGGUUUCUUUAUUAUUUAUUGAAAUAAAAUUGAGAGACAUUUUUGUUUUUCGUUUGGAAAAUAAAUGAAAAUAAAAAGGAGAAAAUUUUAGUGAGAGAUUAUAGCAUAAGAAGUCUUUUAGUCAAUAAUUAGUUAUUCACUAGAAAUAGUGCCCGCGCGUUGCUGCGGGAUUAGAAAAUGUAUGAGAAAAUAUGUUUCAAAAGGAUAAAAUAAUAUAGAUAUUUAUAGAAUGAUCAAGUUUGAAUGAAAGGUGCAGAACCAUUUGUAUAGAAAAUGAGAACAAAGGGAUUAAAUUCAAAUAGAGGAAGAGGUAUUAUGAUGUUAGUAAACAGAAAAUUGACCUAUGUUUUAAAGAAAAUUUUUGAGAGUCUAAUAUAAGUUCCUAUAUUUCCGUUGUUUUCCUUGUUCAUUCACAAACCCAAAAAAAAUCUUCUGUUUACUUUAUCCAACCAUUGAACUUUUAUAGAGUCAAUAAAGAACACUAACCUCAAUUGGGAGCAAAAGAGUGCUCCACCAUCACAUGAUUGAGUUUUAUAAGGUCUUCCAUGUUUACAAAACAUUCAUAACUAAAUUUAUUAAAGGCUCAACUUUGUACAUGGAAUAGAAUGCUACACAGCAAAUUAGAAACAACAGAAAAACAGAAACAAAAAUGAGAAAAGGAUACGGUUAUGCACCCUUGGAAGAAUGCAAAUCGAGAACUGUAAUUUUCUUUGGAGCCAAAAAGAAUCAAAUGGUCAAAAAGCCAUGAAAAAAGUUGAAAACCCACAAAAAACCAAAAUCUUAUAUGAUUUUCCUCAUACUAAUCACACAACGAAAACUACAAAUAACAAAACAGGAAAAAAAUGAAAACGAUAUGGCAAUGCAUUGUUGGUAGGAUCCAUAUUGAUAAUUGUAAUUUUACUGUGGGGCGAAAAUGAUGAAAUGGUCAAUGGAAACAUGAUAGACAGAUUGAAAAAGAAAAAUUGAAGCCAAGGAAAAUCUUGAAAAUUCACACAAAUCCAAAAUCCUAUAGGAGUGUGUAAAUGGCAAAAUUCAAACAGGUUGAAUAAAAGCAACACUUGAAAUAAUUUAAACAAUGACAUUGUUAAUCAAGAGUUAAUUCAUUAGUAUUUUAUCUGUAAAAGUGAAGUGAAACAUGUAAAAAGAUGGAUCAGAUAUAGCUAGUUAGAUGCCUCUUUGUAAUAUAGAGACAAAGUAUGCUGAGUUAUUUCAGCCUUCAUCAUUUGGAGAAAUAAUCAUCACUUCCAUCUUUUCUCUUCAGAGGAAUUGGUUGCUACCAAUUUAUACACAAAAACUUUCUCCUUUUGACGUAUUGUGAACACAUGGCUAAUUGGUUGGUUGUCUAAUGAGAGGUUUGAGUUGGACAUACAAAAGUAUAGAUGAAGAUGUUCUGAUUGAAGAUAUACUUUGUACAUAUGUCCCCCUUAACUCAUCAAUGGUCAAGCAAGGAAUAAGCUAUGUAUUCAGAUUAGGUAAAAACGAAGAUCGUUUGUAUAUACAUACAUUGGUAGCAACGAAUUCCUCUGAAGAGAAAGGUUAGUAAAUAUUGAAUUUAAACGGGAAUCAGCAAAGAAAAGAAAGUUAAGAAAAACAUACCAUUAAGUCAUUCCAUUGUAGUUGAGGAUUUAGGCCAUACCUAAUAAUCUUUGCUUUUAUACUGUGCUUAACAUAUUUGUUGUAGCUGCAACUUGGUUGUUGAAUUUGUCAUGUGUCUUCUUUUCAUUGAAUCUGCGGAGGAAGAGGUUAACAUCUCACUAUACAUUGAAAAAGCAAUUGUAAAAACUUUGUUUAUUAGAACAUGUUUAAUCUCUUUGAAAAUGUUUGAAUUCUUUUUUUAAUUUAGGUAGAAAAUUGGAAAUGGAUAUAUACUAUAUGUUUAAGGAAAUAUUAAAAAAUAGGAUAGGCAGAUGGAAUAGUUUUGAGGCUUUACCAUAAUUAAAAUAAAUGUGCAAUUGCAGCAUUUAUUUCCUAUGUAAGCAAACUAAAAACAGUAGUUCCAAUGAAGGUAACCUGCAUUUGGUUGAACAAAAGUGGGUAAGAAUAUUAAUGUAGCAGUAAGAAAGUAUUUAACAAAAGAAGGUGAUCAAAUGAUAACUAUAUAAAUUGCUCAAUAUGUAUUCAUGAUUAUAAACAAAUUAUUGUAAAUUUUGUAACACGUCUUUAAAUACUAUAUUUUUUGUAUAAUUGUUUAAAUUGUUUUCUCCAUUUCCUAUCAAUAUUUUUAAACCUUUUCUUGAUGUAACUCUAGAUAAUGCAACAUAUAAUUGACCAUGAGUAAAAACAGGUUCAGGAAGAUAUAAUCCAACUUGUUUCAAAGAUUGUCCUUGGCUUUUAUUAAUGGUCAUUGCAUAACAUGGUCUAACUGGAAAUUGGCGUCUUUUGAAAAUAAAAGGCCAUUUGCUUUCAGUUGCUGCAAGAGUGAUUCUUGGAAUGAAAACUUUGUGACCAAUAUUAGUUCCAGCAAGAAUUUUAGCCUCAAUAAUUCUAUCAAAUAAUUGUGUCACAAUCAAUCUAGUUCCAUUGCAUAAACCCAAAGAUUGGUUUAAAUUUCGUAAUAACAUAAUUGGCAUUCACACUUUUAAAAUGAGAUUGUGUGUAGGCAAACCGUUGAAAUCAAGUUUGUUUAAAAAUUCUGUAGGAUACAUUGUUUCAAGAUUUUCAAAAUUUCCAUUUGAAGAACACAAAGAAUCAUAACUUAAAAAUGUAUGAUGUUCUCUAGGUAAUAAAUUAGUUAUAUAAUCAUUUACAUCCGACACAGUUGUGUUUCGAGGUGUAAUAAUAGCUCGUUCUCUUAGAUAUACAAAAUCGUCAAAAGAAUUUUCAAAAUUGGGAAAAGUUGCACAAAAGAUUGCAGCAAUUGGGUUUGUGGAAGAAUGGAUUAUUAAAUCUUUAGGUAUUUCAAUCACAGAUGUAUCAAUGUCAUUUGAAUCAUUUAGUGCAUCUAUGUUAUCAAUUUCUCCAUCACCUACUUUUAAAAUCCAAUUUGCAAAAUCUUUGAUUUUUUGUUUUUCAUCAAUGCUUAUAUCAUUUCUUAACAACCUCAUAUUUUCUUUUAAACGAAAAAUUUUAAAAUGUGGCCACAAAUAAGAAUUGUUUAAAGAAGCAUUUAUUAUAUCUUCUUUGUUUGCUCCAGGAAUAACAGGUAAUAUUUGUCGAAAAUCACCUCCUAAUAAAAGGGGUUUACCACCAAAUGGAACAAUGUUAUUCGGAGCAUGUAAAUGUGAUAGAAUAUCAGAAAGUGAUUUAUCCAAUGCUUCAAAACAAUAUUUAUGAUUCAUAGGUGCCUCAUCCCAUAUAAUCAAAUCAGUUUUUUCAAUUAAUGUGGCAAGAUGAGUUUUUUUCUUUAUUGGACAAAUUGAUGUAUCAGUAAUAACCAACGGAAUUUUAAACCUAGAGUGAGCUGUUCUACCAUUUGGUAAUAAUAAUGAUGCUAUUCCUGAUGAUGCCACAGCUAAAACAAUUUUGCCUUCAGAUCUAAGCUUACUUAUAAUUGUAUCCCAUAAAAAUGUUUUUCCAGUACCUCCAUGGCCAUAGACAAAAAAUAAUCCUUGUUUUCUUGUAUUUACAGUAUCUAUAACAGUAUCAUAUACAUAUUUUUGUUCUUCAUUAAGUUGUGAUUUCAAUAUUUCAUGUUUUCUAUAUAAUUCUUGACAAUCAUAAUUUAAUUCUUCUCUUAAAAGUUUAUUUUUUAUUUCUAGCAUCUUUUUUUCAUCAGGCAUUGGCAAACAAUGUUUUUUGCAAAGAGCUAGAUGCAUUGUUAAAAAGUAAUUCUAGCUCAAAUAAGACAGAAUUUUUUAGUUCAUCUUCCGGAACAAUCAUAUUAGGAAUUGCAAAAGUUUUUUGCAGCUUGUAUAAAAUAUCGUCAUACAUAUUUUUUCCAAUGAGUAUCAAAAAGAAUUUCAGGAUUUGCAACAUCGCAAAACAAAAACUAUUGUAACAAAUAAUUGUCUUAACUGAGGAGAUGAUGCAACAUGUGUAGCAGUUGAUAAAGCAUCUAACCAUUCUUUAUCAUCACCUAAUAAUCCUAAUGAUUUACAUGCAGCUUGAUAUGAAGAAUGGAGAACACCAUUAACAGUUUUGAUAUCAUCAAAAUUCAAUGCACCUUUUUUUCAAAUUUAAAAGCAUUCUUAAAUAAUAUAACUCACCAGAUGCAGGGUGCACAUAUGCUAUCCUACCAAUUGAUCCUUUGCGUUUCCUUGGCUUCCAAAACUUCUGUCGUCCAUCAUAUAAAAACUUGGAUGGCAUCUGAGCAUAAGUUAGCAAGCGUGAUUCAUUAUAAAUUUUAUUUGCUUCAAACCAAGCUGUUAACAUAGUAUGUUCAGAAGCUCUUUGAUUAAUAAUUGAUUCCAAUGAUUGAUUACCACUGAAAACAAUGUUUUGUUCUAAUGGUAAAUGGACAGGUAAUCGCUCAACAGAAGGUUCUCUAUAAUGUAUUGAAUAUUGGAACAAUCUCCAAACAGCCUCAUAUGGUGAUAUGUAUCUACAAUUGAGAUAUGCUAAUAUUUCAUCAUUUGAAUCUUCUUGAAGAAGUAACCGUGCUCUAUCUGAACCUUUAUUAAUGUAUUUGAACAAAUACUUUAUAAGCAUAGAUUGACAACAUGAUUCAACAUUUAUAUGAGCAUUGUAUCUCAAAAGUAGUUCUGCAUUAUAAGGAACAACAAAGCUAUUAUCAAUUUUGAUGCCAUUUUUUAUGAAAAAUUUUGUAUCAUCGUCACAACGCUUAUAAAUUGGAAAACCAUUAGGCUCAAAUAGUGUUUCAUUUUUAUAUGGUUUUGGAAAAUUUUUUGAACACUUAUUUUCUCGCAUGCAAGGAGACUUUGAAUUAAUGUGACCACAUGGACCAUGAAUCAUAAAUUGAUUAACAAUUUCAUAAAGCUUUGGAUUAACAAUUUUAUCCGGUAUUUCAGCUGAAAUAAUAGAAUCUAUAUCACAUGAGGAAUGACACUUGAAGUUUGAUUUUAACCAUAUUAAUAUAUGAGAAUGAGGCAAACCUCUUUUUUGAAAUUCAAUCGUGCAAACAUCUGUUUAUAAGAAAAAUAAAAGAAAACAAACAAACAGAGAAAAAAAAUUAUGUUAGGUCAGAGAAAAAUAAAUAAACAUUAAUAAAGGAAAAGAAGGACUCUUAGAGACUUACUUGCUUCAACUUCUCCAAAAGGUUUUCCAGAUUUUAUAAAGUGAAGCAUAUCAUCGAGUUUCAUUUUAAAUACUCUGGAAAUUAUAUCAGGCCUAUCUUCAGGUUUGAAUCCUGGUUUUUUCUGAAAUUCUCUUAUGAUUUCUGGCCACUUUAUAUUGCAUGUGAAUGUUAUGAAUAAAUCAGGAUGUCCAUAUUCUCUGCAAAUAGCCAUUGCAUCUUGAUAAUUAUUAAUCAUAUAUCUAGGACUCCCUGUGUAUGAAGCAGGCAAUACAAUUUUUUGUCCCAAAUUGUUUGCAUCAUUAUCACCCCUUGACAUCGCAUCAUAAAUUCCUUUGUAAACUUCACUUCUUAAAUUUUUUUGGUUUUGCCUAAUGUAAUCUAACCUAUCUUCUUCAAGUGUUGCAUAAGAAUCAACCAAAUAUUGUUGAAAAAGUCUCCCCCCUUUUAAACAAUGUUGUUAAGCAUGGUUCUCGUUCUUGAAUUUGAUACGCUAUAAAAGCUCUCAUGGGUAUCCUUUGUCUUUUAGUCUCUGAACCCUUAUAAUUUUUGUUCCAUUUUAAAUCAGGUCUAUAACCAUCUUCACCGUAUGGGAAAAGAAGAGGAUAUUGCAAAGACAUAAAUUUUGGAUUUAAUUUUGUAACACGCUUUAAUCCUUCACUUUUAGACUCAAUAAUAAUAUCUCUAUUAGAAUCAGCAAGUCCUAUAUCACCAACUAUCAGACCACUUAUUUCAUCACUUGUUGGUUGGUCAUAUUGUUUACCAUCUGUUGUUUCUCUUGCUGAUAAUCUCAUUUUCAAAGAAGUGAGUCUAUUAGUUUCAAACUUAUCUCUUGCUGUUCGAAAAAGCUUAACUAACUCAUUUGACAUAUCAAACAUCUUAAUCAAACCUUCAACAAUUUUUGGAUCAAGCUUUCUAUUAUUUCCAUCAGAUUCAAAAGCCUUCAAUCGAUUUUGCACUUCAUUGUAUGUAUCAUAGACAUAUAAUUGUGCAAAUUUUGGACACUCAUUGUCAGCAGGCAACAGAGAUCCCAUCAAAUGGCAAACUUGACCACUAAUUUUGAAAAUAUAAGGACCUGAACCAUCAUUAAUUGAGUGAUCAAUUUUGGCUCCCAUCGAAGUAAAUGAAAACAUAGAAUUGUAAGCUCUAAUAUUUCUCGAAAUGAUAAACUUUUUGGACCACCAUUUGGAUCAAGCAAAGAUUCUAAAAAAGGCGGUGUUGGUUUUGGAUUUGGAAAAGCAAUUUUUCCUUGUUGACAACAAAGAGUGAAAAUAGGUUCAUCUUUUUUACAUACUUGCUUAAGAGACUCUUUCAACCAAAAAUAGGCACCGCAGUGACUACAUUUAUAAUUCUUAUCCCCAAAAUCCACAUAAUCUUUUAAAACCCCUGCAAAAAAAAUACACAGGAAAGAAAAGAAAGAAAACAGGACUUAGAAAAGAUAUGCAAUAAACUAAAUAUAAAUUUACACGAUAACAGAAAUAUAUUUUUAUAUAAAUUAAAAAACAUACCAGUUCUGCUUUUCUGGAAGAAUGCUUGGCCCUUGUUCAUAAGAUUGUAAUUUUGAGGAUCAAUCGUUUUUUCAGCCAUGUUAUCAGAAUUAUCCAACAAAUUAAUAGGUUUUUUACCUUUUCGAUCAGAAGGCUGAACAAUUUUUUCAACAGAUGCAGUAUGCUGCACUUUAUCAUAAUUAGCAUUUUUCAAAUCGCAUUGUACAACAGCUGAUCCACUACUACUACACUGAUGUUUAAAAUAUGGAGUUCGAAGAAAUGUAUCAAUCUGAGAUAAAACAGCGUUUUCAUGAUUUUCAAGAUAACUGGUUCUACACACUUUUCUUGGCUGAUGGUCACACUGAACCAAGACAUUAUAUUCAUUAUCACUAUUUGUUUGUUUUUUGUUGUUAUCAUCAUUGACCAACGCAUUUAUAGAUCUUUUAGACAUGUUGAAAACAAAUUGUUAUGAGGAAAAGCGAAGAGCUGCAAAAAAGAUUGGGAAAAAAAAAGAAAAAAAAAGUGAAAAAAAUAUUAACACAUAAAUCACACAGCAAAAAAACAUAACAAACAUUAAUUAUGAACAAACCAUCAAAAUUAGGAUUUCAAUUUAAAGUUAAAGGAAAUACCAAGUUUAUUCAUACUUUAUAAAACAAAAUCGAAACAAAUACUUAAAAUUUGAUCUUAACAAUUCCAAAAUUUUAGCUCACUCACCUUUAGUACAGAAAUCUUUCAAACACAAAGACAAAGACGCCAAAGCGUGAAAGCACAGUAUUUUGAAACCCUCCUUUUUUUUCCAACUUGCAGAGUUGAAAUUUUUCAAGCACCUGUAUUUGUCAAGAGAAAUCAUCACAUUAUAUCAAUAAAAAAAAUCAUCGGUAACAAAAUCGAUACACAUGAAAAAACAAACAGUGUACAAAUAACAGUCAGGAUGAAAAUGUGCUUGGUGAACAGAAAGACAAAGAAUGGUUCACGUGGCCACCCCAAAACAGGUUGAAAAUUAAGCUUCACUAUGAAUGGAAAGAUUAAUAGAUGAUAAUUAAGAAGGCCUGAUACCCAAGCCAAAAUCGGAGAUAUCCUUUGUAAACAAAAAGAUUGAGCAUUUCCACUAAUUUUAUUUUUUGGGGGGGGGGGGGUGGUGUUUGGGAAAGCUCAUAAAAAGACAUCAAAUUUUAUACUUAUUGCAUGCAAGGUAUGCAACAGCUUCCCACCGCUUAAAAUCACAUAAAUAAAGGGAAUAGAAUCAAGAAAAAAAAAGUUAAUUACACAAUAAUUACACCUUCACUAAGAUUAAUAAAUUAACCAAGGAAAUAAAUUAUAAAAAUGAAGACCAUGAGAAUAAUUGGCUCACCUUUGUACUGUGAUUUGCUGCCAAAAAACAAAAAUAAUGUCAUAUACAUUAAGCCUGCCUAAUUACUAAAAACAAAACAUUUUGCGAGAAGUAAGAACAUACCCAAACUUGUUUGCAAAUAGAUGAGAAAAUUUUAUACCUGAAACAAAUGGGAAAUUUAUUAGGAAAGAUAGAUCAGCCCAUAUGUGUGUAAUCUAUAUGCAAAAAACUACUUUCUUCAUCAGCCAAAUCGUUUCACAAAUAAAUAAAAAAACAGAAUCAUAUCUUGAACAAUGCCAAUUAAUGAUUUCCCAUUUCCUUAAGCCCAACAUGAAAGCCAAUGAACUAAUGAAAGAGCGAAAAAAACAGAAACAAAAAAACCUCAAUUAAGCAAUCAACUGGAAUCAAAUGGAGAACUGUUUAACAGACCUGGAAAACUACUAUAAAAGGUUUGAAAAUUACCCAGUAAGAUUAAAAAAAAAAGAUGAGAUGGAGCGAGAAUCACAUACCAGCAACACGUUUAAAUAUGUAGGCUCCUCUGAGAGAGUAUCAAGACUGACUGAUGAGAGUGCAGAGAAACGAAUGAUUAAGAAAUUAAAGCUCUAAGCUCAAAUUUGGGGCUUCCACUUUCCAACUGGGCAAGAAAUAACAGAGAAAACACAGAGAGAGUCAAUCCACCAAAAAUAUUAAUCAAAUGGGUUUCUUCUAAUUCAAAUUUUGGACCACCCAAAUUCCGAUGAUGCAAUAACCCAAAAUUCCAACAGAUUGAAGCUCUCACAGGUUACAAAUCAUCAAUAACCAGCAAUAAAAAAUUUGAAAACAGUAAUAAUGUAGCAAAAAGAAAUUAAAGUUGCGAGCCAUUCUCUAAAUCUCAGGCAGCAAUCCAAAUCACCAAUAAUUUGCACAUAAUGAUAAGAAUCUAAUAGUACUCCAAUUGUUUAAAACCCAAGUUCCAGAAAUCAUGAAAAAUGUUACAACAGCAGAUAACAAAGGGUCAAAAAAAAAAAAGAACAGCCACACCUUCUGAAAUAAAAAACAAAACCAAAGAACACAUUCACACCAUCGGUCCAAACGAUAUCUAGAAAAGAAAAAAAAAUUGACAGACAAAACGCAUGUAAACAUAUCAAAAAAAAAAAAAAAAAAAAAACUGUAGACAGAAGGAAAUCACAAAACUCACGAAAAAGGAAUUGAAGACAGCAAAGCCAACUUUUUAUACCAAGCAGUGACAACGACGGCACAGAGAUGAAUUUUUACAAACGAACCGUUCGGAGCGAGCAGAGAGAGAUGAGAACAUAAAGGUUGAAAAAUUAGGGUUCGAGACCGUGCCUCACCACAGCAAAGCUAACUUUUUAUACGAAGCAGCGACAGCGACCGGACAGAGGAAAUUUUUAUAAACCGAUUGACCGGCGCGAGCGGACAGAGAUGAGAUUCAAAAGGGAGAAAAAUUAGGGUUUGAGAGAUAAAGAAAGCUAAUCCCAAAAUGGCUGAGAACGGCGACAACAAUUUAGAAAAAAGGAAAGAGCAUCCAAAGAAAUCGAAACAGGAAAGGAUCAACCCGUGGCCUUCGAGGGCAAGGCAGUCUUUUCACUGUGGAAAAGAUGGCAAAAAUUUGGCUUAACAAACAAAUCGAGGGGUAUUUUAGUCCGCGCACUGUCCGUGAACAGUAACGCGGUUUUGGGGUUUUAGUAUAGGUAUAAUAUCAAUUGAGGGUACUUAUAUCUAUUUAAGUGGAAUUUUGAAUAUAUUUGAAAGUUUUUAUAAAAAUUGACAUUUUUUAAAUUAAUGGUUUCUAAUACUUUUUUAUUUUUAAGUAAAAUGACGGAUUUAGCCUGCGUGGUCUAUCUGCUACUUUAACGCUCUUACCCUGCAACAACGCCGCCUCCGGGCCGCUCCUCUGCAAGUUUUUCCGAAUCGCCGUACGUCGGCCUUCGCCAUCGACUUAUCCCUCGAGACCUUACCAUCAAGUAAUGAAGGAAUGGAUGUGUAUUGAUCCCAAGCAAAUCAUCCCCACAUGCACAUCACCCUUUUCUCAAUCCACAAGUUUUCGCGUCAGGGGAGCAAUCCACAAGAAAAUCCUCCCACAACCCUUCGUGUUUUUUUUUUUUUUUUUUUUGGGAUCCUCCAUCUCUUCAAAAUUAACAAAUUCUAUCACUUAGGUCAGAAUCAAGAUAUAAGAUGGUGGGAAAUGGAAGAAACCCGAAGCAAAAUUGGGAAAUUUGGGUCUACUCUUUGAAUGCCUCAGAGAAAUUUAGUUGAAUUUAUAUGUGAAAUUGUUGUUUUUUGCUCCUAAUGUGCUAUUGAAAUCUCUGGAGGCAGAGCACCCAAUAAUCAACUCCAAUUUCCAGACGAACACAAAGUCGUCUUCUUUGCAGGUUCUUCUCUACCAGGUCAGCAUCUAUGCAUUGCAAUAAUAUACUCUAUAUAUAUAGAUGUAUGUAUACGUCUGCAAGUUUGUUUCAAUCUUUCACUGUACUAGAUUUUCCAGUAAAUCUGGUCAUCAGGUGCUUAAAGUUUUGAAUUUAGUGAUUGGCUUAAUCACUAUUAGGAGUUUAAUAUUGGAUUUGUUAGGCUUAUUCCUGUUUUAGUGAAGUCUGUUAGAAAGGAGCUGAGUUCCCAGAAUUGUAUCAGAUCAGAAUUUACAAACAGAAAUAAAAGGUCGUACCCAUGCACAAGGCUCCCGCUUUACGCAGGGUCUGGGAGAGGUGAAUGUCGGCUAGCCUUUAUGGAGAGGCCGCUCCCAAGUCUCGAACCCGAGACCUACCGCUCAUGGGCGAAAGCACUUGCCAUCGCACCAAGUGCGACCUCUUAAUUUACAAACAGAAAUACAAACCAAAAAAUAUAUUGGAGCCCUGCUCCCUUCUACUUCAUCUUCUCCAUUUGCCAUUACCAUCGCUGCUUGCUGGUUGAGAUAGGGUUAUGAGAUUUGGGCUCUAUCACACUUGGGUUCUUUGGUAUCUGAUUGGUUGAUUAUGUCUGAACUUUUUGGGUUUAUUGGGUUUUUAGUUCUUGGUUGUUCCUUUUAAGCAAGAUUUGAAUUUUUGUUUAGAGAAUUGGGCUUAAUUUGAAAACAGUUUUAUAGAAAGCCGGGCAUCAUGUCAAUGCCAGAAAAGCCUAAUUCGGUACGUACACAUGGUGACCUGAGGAGAGGGAACCUUGCGUUCAAGCACUUUACUGAACUGGAACCAAUGUCUAAGAUUGUUGGUCAUUGAUGAAAAUGAAAUUGGAACUCCUUUCUUUACGUUGGAAGACUACAAAACCGCAAAAAAAGGCAAUCCUCUCAUGGACAUGCAAUACUCUUGAUACGUAAAGGGGCUUUCAGCACAAAUUAAUAAGAGCAUACACCAGUGCAACUGAGGUUUGGAGAACGACUCUUAAAAUAUUCGAAUCAUUCAUCAUCAUGACAUAUAAGAUAGCUGUACAAUUAACCGAAAGAUUUGUUACUGAUAAAUGUAUUUCCAGUUUCAGCAUGUUCCUCUCUCUGCUCUCUGUGGGAGGAGGUUAUCAGAAAGUUACUCACCCUUGGUGUCUGCAUAAGCUCAAGUUUGGACUUGUGCCGGAACUGGUUCAUGUGUCAAGCAUGCACGCACCAAGGACCAAGUCGCUCGACCCGCUGCAUGGAGAAAGCUGGAGAUGAUCGGAUAAUUAAUGUUGAAAGAGUAUGGAAAACUUGCAACAUGAAAGUUGUAAAUGGAUUGCAUGCUGUGUUUUAACACAUGUUUUAGACAUUUUUAUUUAAAUAACAUUAAACUCUUGAUGUUGUUUGAAAUUGAAAGUACAUGGAUCUUCAGAGCAUCGUAUAAUCUAUUUUUAGGCAAGGAAUGUGGGAUAUUUUGGGCUAGUAUCGUCCUUUUCCAGGUUGACUUCUCUCUUUUUGUAAAGGACACCUGACGAUCGAAAGUAACCCAAGUGAAAGAGGCAGGCCCUCUUCUGGAAUGGAUGCUAGCUUUGGACAAUCUUCGAGGCUCAGAGUCUGAAGAGAGGUGAGGAAUUGAAUGCCCUUGCUGAUUUUCUUCAGAUUUAGGAAGUCAUAAAUUUCGAGUUCAGUGAGAGAUUUGGGAGCAGCAUCUCCUCCUUCCCAUCAGGUGGAAAUGACAACACAUCUGGAUCUUCACUUCUGAUCAACAACUUUCUAAGAGAGGAGAGUUUGUGCAACCCCCACUCCAACUCCCAGAGCCGCUUACAACUCUCGACUUUAUAAAUUCCAAGUGAUGUCAGGUUGGGAGGAAAUGAAUCAAGAUAUAAAGAUGGUGGGAAAUGGAAGAAACCUGAAGCAAAAUUGGGAAAUUUGGGUCUGCUCUGUGAAUGCCUCAGAGAAAUUUAGUUGAAUUUUAUCUGUGAAAUUGUUGUUUUUUGCUCCUAAUGUGCUAUUGAAAGCUCUGGAGGCAGAGCACCCAAUAAUCAACUCCAAUUUCCAGAAGAACACAAAGUCGUCUUCUUUGCAGGUUCUUCUCUACCAGGUCAGCAUCUAUGCAUUGCAAUAAUAUACUCUAUAUAUAUAGAUGUAUGUAUACGUCUGCAAGUUUGUUUCAAUCUUUCAUUGUACUUGAUUUUCCUGUAAGUCUGGUCAUCAGGUGCUUAAAGUUUUGAAUUUCAUGUUUUAUUAUUCGUACCACUUUGUUAUGAACUUAGGAUUUAGUGAUUGGCGUAAUCACUAUGAGGAGUUUAAUAUUGGAUUUGUUAGGCUUUUCUUGUUUUUAGUGAAGUCUGUUAGAAAUGCAGCUGGCAUUAAAGGUGAAAGUCUAUAAAAGGGAGCUGAGCUCCCUGAAUUGUAUUAGAUCAGAAUUUACAAACAGAAAUAAAAAGGUUGUACCCAGUGCACAAGGCUCCCGCUUUACGCAGGGUCUGGGAGAGGUGAAUGUCGGCUAGCCUUACCUCCAUUUAUGGAGAGGCUGCUCCCAAGUCUCGAACCCGAGACCUACCGCUCAUGGGCGAAGGCACUUGCCAUCGCACCAAGUGCGACCUCUAAUUUACAAACAGAAAUACAAACCAAAAAAUAUAUUGGAACCCCUGCUCCCUUCUACUUCAUGUUCUCUAUUUUCCAUUACUAUCGCUGCUUGCAGGUUGAUUAUGUCACACUUGGGUUCUGAGAUUUGGGCUCUGUCACACUUGGGUUCUUUGGUAUCUGAUUGGUUGAUUAUGUCUGUGAAAUUUUAAGGUUUAUUGGGUUUUUAGUUCUUGGUUGUUCCUUUUGAGCAAGAUUUGAAUUUUUGUUUAGAGAAUUGGGCUUAAUUCGAAAACAGUUAUAUAGAAAGGAGAAUAUGGAGUGCCCAGUGGCAGGAAGAGGAGGAAGAGCUCGUCAUGUCAAUGCCAGAAAAGCCUAAUUGGGUACGGACACAUGGUGACCUGAGGAGAGGGAACCUUGCGUUCAAGCACUUUACUGAACUGGAACCAAUGUCUAGUGACAGAUACAAAGUAGCAGGGAGUAUGUUUGCCAACGCUGGAGAAAACGAAAAUGCAACUGAAAUUUGGAAACUCAUUGGAGAAAAUGAAUUGGAGAUUACUCGUGGGAUGAGUUUCAUCAAAAUAGAUGGUGCCGUCCAUGAGGUUGUAGUGUGGACUAUUCAUCAUAGCAGGCACAAAGAAAUCUACAUUGGAAUUGGAACUCCAUUCUUUACUUUGGAAGAUCGCAAAACCGCUAAAAAUGGCAGUCCUCUCAUGGACAUGCUAUACUCUUGAUACGCAAAGGGGAUUUUAGCACAAAUUGAUAAGGGCAUUUACCAAUGCAACUGAGGUUUGGAGAAAGACUCGUAAAAUAUUCGAUUCAUUCAUCAUUGUGGCAGAGAAAAUAACUAUAUAUUCACAAUUUAUUGAAAGAUUUGUUACAUGGUAGAAUUCUUACGUAAUCACAGUUAUAUAUAUAUAGAUAAUAUACAAUGAUAAAUGUAUUUACAGUUUCAGCGUGUUCCUUUCUCUGCUCUCUAUGGGAGGAGGUUAUCAGCAAGUUACUCACCCGUAGUGUCUGCAUAAGCUCAAGUCUGGACUUAUGCCGGAACUGGUUCAUGUGUCAGGCAUGCACGCACCAAGGACCUGGUCGCUCGACCCACUGCAUGGAGAAAGCUGGAUAUGGUCGGAUAAUUAAUGGUGAAAGAGUGUAUGGAAAACUUGCCACAUGAAAGUUGUAAAUGAAUUGCAUGCUGUGUUUUUAACACAUUUUUUUAGACAUUUUGAUUUAAAUAACAUUUUUUUAGAAACUGGAAGUACCUGGAUCUUCAGAGCCACGUACAAUCUAUUUGUAGGCAAGGAAUGCGGGAUAUUUUGGGCCAGUAUCGUCCUUUUCCAGGUUGACAUCUCUCUUUUAGUAGAGAACACCCUAAGAUCAGAAGUUUCCCAAGUGAAAGAGGCAGGCCUUCCUCUGGAAUGGAUGCGAGCUUUGGACAAGCAAUUAGUUGCAGAGUCUGAAGAGAGGUGAGGAAUUGAAUGCCAUUGCCGAGUUUCUUCAGAUUUGGACAAUGAAAUAGUUUCAGAGUCUGAAGAGAGGUGAGGAAUUGAAGGCCUCGGCCAAGUUUCUUCAGAUUUGGGAAGCCACAAAUUGUGAGUCCAGAGAGAGAAUUGGGGAGCAGCAUCUCCUCCUUCCCAUCAGGUGGAAAUGACAACACAUCUGGAUCUUCACUUUCGAUCACCAACUUUCUAAGGGAGGAGAGUUUGUGCAACCCCCACUCCAACUCCCAGAGCCGCUUACAACUCUUGAGUUUAGAAAUUACAAGUGAUGUGAGGUUGGGAGGAAAGGAAGUCAAACCUUCCAAGCAGUCAAUCUCCAAUUCCUUAAGAGACGUGAGAUUGCGAAUGUCUUCCGGUGACACCUCCAAUUUUCCGCAGUCCCUAACAAUAAAAGCUUGAAGAUUGGUGAGGUGGCAUAGGCCCUCCGGUAAGGAUUUCAGAUUUGGACACGUGUCAAUACUAAUAUAUUCAAGACAAUUAUUAGUGUUGUCGUGGAAGAACCGGUCUGAUGCUAUUAACUCUAGCCCUUCACAUGCAUAUAUCUCAAGGUGUUUAAGCGCCCUGUAAAGCUGGCCUCUCGGUGAUAACGAUGUCAGAGAUGGACAACCAUGUACCUCCAAGUGCUCAAGAGAAACAGAAAAAGAAGAUGAACAAGAAACAACGAGCUCCUUCUCCUCCUCCACUAAUGAUUUCAAACUUCCACACUCCCAUAUCUCUAUUCUUUUCAGAUUUUGGGGAAUCUGAUAUUUUGCAAUAUACGUCAGAGAGGGACAGUAGUGAAUCUCCAAGACUUUAAGAGAAGGUGGCAGGCCAACAUCUGGAAAAGAACUAGACUUGAACAGUGGCUUAUGUGAAGCUCUUGAAGAAACGACAACUGACGCAACCCCUUCGGCAGCUUCGAAAGACGUUCACAGUUGUUUAUUUCCAGAUAUUCAAGCUUGCAAGCUAAAAUUGGAACCUGCAGCAACCCCUCCAAUUCUUUUCCGAGAUCUUCAACAAGGGCAGAGUUGCCUUCAAUAACCAAACGAACAAGAGAAAUCAGGUGUGGGAAACAUCUAUCCUCUUUUUCCAGUGAAGACGUCAGCUCCUCACAACCACUAAUCUUCAACUCCUUAAUCUUGCCCAAUCCUUUCGUAAGUCCCCUUGCUCCCAACCGCGGCUCCAAAAUAUUUGAAAGCCUCAUGGUCUCUAAUAACUUAAAGUCAACCUCUGCGCUAGUAUGCACAAGCGCUUUGCAACCAUGGAUGCUUACUUCACUCGCGUGUUCAUAAUUGGCAAUUUCCACCACCAAUUCCUUGCACCUAUAAAUCUCAAGCUUUGAUAACGAAUUAAGUUUCUUCGGCAACUCACCCUCCAAUUUAGGGCAGCCUUGGACUAAAAGCAUUUUUAGGCUAGGGAAAACACCACUUCCCUUAUCCUGAUCGAAAGGCAGCCAUUUCUCCCACUGCUCCAUCUCCGAAAACUUGAGAAUCUUUAAUACUCGAAAAGGCAAACUACCCUCUCCGUAGAAUUCAGGACCAAUGAUUUCCACGGCAGUCAUUCCCCCGAUAUAAAGUUCUUUAAGGCAAGGCAACUGUCCAACUGGUGGCAAGAGAUGACAACUUGCACAAUUGUAUAAGCUUACACGGACCAUGUUAGAGAACAGAGGAUCUCCAAUCCACGAUGAAAAUUUCAAUCCAGCAUAACCUUCAAUGGUGAGCUCUUUGAGAUUUUUAGGAGGUUGUAACAUGUCAAGCACACCCAACUCCAUUUCCCUCGAUCCGCUCAAAUUAGACCAUUCCAGCUGUAAUGAAUCAAGCCUCUCCUUGUCUAUUAACUUGGCCUCACUAGCAUCCUUAGCAUCAACCACAUUCUCCAAUCUUGAGAGGCACAAUGUCCCUCGGAGAUGCAGUAGGGACCCUAUCUCUCUUAUCCCAGACUGAUCACUACCUUUGCCUACCACAAAAUACGACAAGGAUUGCAGAUUCGUCAAUCGACCUAUAUGCGGAGGCAUUCCUUCCAAUCCACUGGAAUUGUUGAGAUGCCGCAAAUUAAUUAGAUUACUCAAGUUUGAGGGCAAUGCCUUCAAUUUAGAACAACCUUUUAAUAACAAUGUUUGCAGAUUGCAAAGAGUGGUUGUUGAUGGAGGCAAACUCUUUAUCUUUGUAUAAGAAAGGUCCAGAUACCGUAGAUUCCACAAUUUACCAAUGGAAUUGGGCAGCUCGGUUAUUUCAUAGCCAUUCAAAGAAAGCACCCGUAAGAUUCGCAGUUCUGGCAAUAGAUCAAAUGUAAGCCGACGAGUUAGAUAGUUCCGAUUAUAUUGUGAAAGCCGAAUUAAAUCUUGUGCAAAUGGCAGGAAUGUCCUCAAAUGUUUAACUUUGGAAAUGGCCUCAAAUUUUUUAACCCCAUCAAACCUACCACUGACAUAAGACAUAUGACGAGCCAUUGGAUGCAAGUCACAAUUUUCCUUGUCCUCCAAUGAAAAGCAUAUUUCAGCUGCAGCCCACCGCGCCAACUCACCAAUAAGGUCAUGCAUUACAUACUUAUCAUUGCUUUUGCUUGCCUUUUGAAAUAAUGACCUGGACAAUAACUCUUGAAAAUAGUCACUGCCUACUUCUUCCAAUUGUUUCUUGUCCUCUACUCUUUGUUGAAUCAAACCUUCUGCCAUCCACAGAAGGAUCAACUGCUUCUCCCCGAACUCAUAGUCAUUUGGAAGUAGGGAACAAUAGGCGAAGCACCGUUUCAAACUCGAAGGGAGAUAGUGAUAGCUCAAUUUUAAUACCGGGAGAAUGCCACUAUCGUCUGAUAGACUCCACAUCUUGUUGUUUAAGAUUGCCUCCCAUUCUUCCACUUGUUUACAACGUAGAAGACCUCCAAGAGUCCUUGCAGCCAAUGGCAAUCCGCGGCAUUUUGCAACAAUUUUCUCCUUUAUCAACUCAAACUUUUGCGGCCUUUUAUUGGUAAUGUCCAAGAGCGAAUGCUGCUCAAAGACUUCCCAACAUUGAUCGUCUGUUAUGCCACCCAAUUGAUAAACAGUGGAUCCCAUCAUGUUUGCAACAUUUGCAUCACGUGUUGUCACAACUAUCUUACUUCCUAAUGCUCCAACACGAAAGGGGGACUGCAAUUUUAUCCACAAAUCAUAGACACAUGUAUUCCAAACAUCGUCUAAAAAAAUUAGAAACUUUUUUCCUGCGAGCUCCUUACUCAAACUUUCUUGAACCUGGUUGAAUUCCUUGUACUCCUUUGCAAGACCAGAUGUGGCGGAUUCAAGAAUUGCCUUUGUCACUCUCUCAAGAUUGAAGUCAUCCGACACAGAUACCCACACUUUUAGGUUAAACUCUUUUGUCGCGUCAUCAUCAUAUACAUGCCUUGCAAGUGUUGUCUUUCCCACUCCAGGCAUACCGACAAUGGCAACUACAUGAAAGUUGACGACACGGGGUGCUUCUUUCACCAACAAGUCAAUAAUCUUCAUCUUGUCUGUAUCCCUUCCAAUCACAGGUCCUUCUGGUAGAUAGGAACUUGGUGACACAUGCCAUUCCUUAGUAGAUGGCGUCCCCUCAUUUAAACCAAGUUGGUUUUUCCGUUCCACUAUCUCACGUAACCGAUCAGUAAUCUUCUUUAUUUCUGAGCUCAAGUUAUAGUUAAAUUUAACAUCAGAAAACAAUCCUCAUACUUUGCUUGUGGUAGCCCAAUGUUUCUUCUUUAUUUGGCGUCGCAAUAUCUCGGUUGAAUACUUGUCCAAUAUGUCUUCCACAUCAUAAGCCAAGUCUCUAAGACCAUCCAGCCACAAUUUCACUGCUCGGCUCGUCAACUGCUUCUCCUCCGCGUCAUUCAGUACUGCUUGAAUAGCAAACAACAUUGAAUUCCAUUUGUCCGGCUCUUUGCCAACGCCAAGUAGGCGUCUAAAGUAGCUCAGCGUCUCACGAGAUGUCAACCUUUCAAGUAACACUUGAAGUAAUCCAGAAAUAAAGACCUCUCCUAGUGACAUAGCUUAUAAGAACUUCUUCAGGAUCGUGUUUAUUAACAGCUUCUUCAGGAGAAAGGAAGGUAUCAAGAUUGAAAGAGUGAAGUGAGGCACCCAAUCCAAGAACAAGUAAGCAAAUGUUACGGGGAAGCUUGAGCAAUGUCAACCGUGGAACUGCAAAAAAAUGAAACUCGUUAAGAAAAAGUUACAUAAAUUCUAGUUUUGUUGUCUCACCGAAUUUUCUCAAAGCUUUUAGUAUUUAUCGAAUCAAAAAUUAUGAUUUGUGUCAUAGUUACAAGCUCAGAGAUAUGUCAUGAGUAUAGUAAACAAAUUGGCCUCAGGAUUGUUCUUGUCAGAAAUGUUUUUCUUUUUGCACAUAAAUUUGGAACACUUUUUUUCUGCCAAAAAUAAGAGCCAGCUAUUCCCGUACCAAUUUCCAUUGAAAUCAUAACAAGAUGGUUUAUGCAAUGAUGAUUAGUUAUACAUAGAGUUAGGAUUGGGGGCACACAUGUUUUGAGACACACUUUGUAGAGCAUGUUAGGAUUUUGCUCGUCGGUAUUAGAGUCCUACUUUGUUUAGGAUUGUAUUAGAAAAGCUAAAGGUGCACAUAUAGGCAUGUAAACAACACCCUAUACUUACAAAUAGGGUGUGGCUAGAAGCAGAAAAACUAAGACAAGUAAGAGAAGAGAGGGAAUGAGAUUAGUCAUAUGGUUUGCAAAAGUAUUGUAUACUUUAUUGUUAAUUAAAUAAGCCAUGAUUUCUCUAUCUAGAGAAAUCACAACAGGACGUAGGCAAAAGUUCUGCUGAACAAGGAUAAAUAUUGUGUGUUUAUAUGUUAUCUCUAUUUGCUAAGCUUAGUGUACUGCUAGAUACAUCAAAGAACAUAACCUAGACGGGGAGUUGAAAUUUUACAAUUGGUAUCAAGAGCUUGGUUCAAGGUGUUCUGCGAUGGAAAGAGGAAUGCUGAUAGCAGGUUUAAGAAGCUUAAGGUAUGUGUUAAAACAUUUUGAUGGCAAGGAUGACUUCAUGGAUUGGCAAAGGAUGAUGAAUCAUGUAUUGAUACAUCAUGAUUUAGAUGAUGCACUCCUUGGUGAGACCGACCAUGAUAGAAGCAACGUGGACCAAUAUUCUCAAGAAGACCAAGAGUUCCAUCGAGACUCAUCUCACGAAAUCAGUCAGGUCCUAUGUUACAGAAAUGAUGACUAUUAAGGAAGAAUAUGACAACUUGGAGAAGGUUUAUAGGGGCAAAUCCGUGUCCGAUAAACUGUUUCUCAAGAAUGAAUUAUUCGGGCUUUGCCUAAUGAGAUGAUAUUAAAGAUCACGUAUUCCAUAAUUGCUUGGCAAAUGGAAGAGAAAAACACCAACAUGGGUUGGUCAAAAUCCAAGAAGAAAACGGAAAAGAAAGAAGGCUGCUUCGAAUGUGGUUAUGCUGAUCAUUAGAAGAGGAACUGCAAGAUUUGGAAGGAGAAGAAAGAUACGAUGGAAGAAAAUGAUGUUUAGCUAGUACAAUCACCGAAUAGGAGAGUGACAAUGAGCUUUUUUAGGUAACUUGGGGCUUCAAGGCUUUCAUAAGUUGGAUAUUGGAAAUCCGAUACACAUUCCAUAUGUGUUAGGUAAGAGAAUGGUUCGAUACCUACAAAGAGGUCAGUAGCAGAAUAGUUUUAAUGACGGAUGAUUGGCCAUGUCCUCUAAAGAGAUCGACAUUGUUAGAUUCAGGAUGUUUAAUGGAGUGAUAUGAGCUUUGAGAAAUGUCAGAUAUGUCCCUAGACUAAAGAAGAAUUUUGAUCUCCUUAGGUACUUUAGACAAGACAGUAUAGUUCUAAAGAAGAAAGACUUGAGGUGACCAAAGGAUCACUGGUGGUAAUACAGGCUGACAUAUAGUACAAUAAGUUGUACAAGCUCAUCGGGACUAUGAUAAUAGAGGGUGCAGUCGUUUCCACCAAGCACAAUAAAAAAGACAAGACUGACCUUUUUAUUAUAGGCUAGGGCAUAUUAGUCAGAAGGGUUUGCAAGAAUUAUAAAAGAGAGGCCUACUAAGGCGUGUCAUUUUGCAAACUCCACUUUUGUGAGUAUUGCGUUAUUAUGAAGCAAAGAAAUGUAUCAUUUGCAUAUACCAAUGCAGAUAACCAAAGUAAGGAACAACUUGAAGAACAUGUUGACCAAGGACUUUGACAUGAAGGAUCUACGUUUUGCACAAAAAUCCUUGGCAUGAAAAUUCAAAGAGAAAGGAUUUGUGGUAGAAUCUGGAUAUCACAAGCCAAGUAUAUUCAAAAGGUUCUUGAGAAGUUCAACAUACUAGAAGUAAAGGUAGUUUCGGCUCUUUAAUUCGGCGGCUUACUAUAGAUUAAGUGGCCAACAAUGUCUUAGGUCCAAGAGAGAAACAAGUGAUGGAGAAUGUGCCUUAUGCUAAUGUCUUGGGUUGCCUAAUGUACGCAAUGGUAUGCACACGACCCGACCUAGCUCAAGCAAUCAGUGUAGUUUCCAAGUACAUGGAAUAUCCAGGAAAGUAACAUUAGGCUGGAGUCAAGUGGAUUAUGUGUUACUUAAGAGGUUUUUGGCAACAUAGGAUUAUGUUUAAGAAUCAAAAAGUAAAUUCUGGAGUGGUGGGAUAUGUUGAUGUCGAAUAUGCAGGAGACUUGGACAAUAGAUUGUCAACUUCUAGUUAUGUCUUUAUAUACGCAAGAGGACCAAUCAGCUGGAGGGCACUACUGCAACCAAUUACAACUUUGUCAACCACAAAAGCAAAGUACACAUAUUGCUCUAACCCAAGUUGUAAAGGAAGCAAUUUAGCUUAGUGGCUUGGCUAGCCAAAUGGGAAUCACUCAAGAUUACGUGAAGUUGAAAUGUGACAAUGUAAUUCACUUGGCAAAGAAUCAGGGUUUUCAUGGAAGAUCAAAGCAUAUUGAAGUGAGGUCUCAUUUUUAAUUCGUACACACCAUUCUCAAUUUACGACCAACAGAUCGAAUGAAGUGAAGAAAAUCAAUGAACAAAAAUUAACAAGGGUGUGUGGGAGGUAAAAAUGAGUGUGAAUAGCUUUACCCAUUAAGGAAUCCCAGAUUGGGUGGAGUCCAAGAAGAUUUGGGUUGGAAAGGUUCACAUGGACGACAAUGCCGCAUAUUUUCUUAUCUAGAUAAUGUCGGCCAAGAAAUUCAAGCGUUGCUUGAACUUGAUCAAUCUAGUUCAUUGAUUAAGGUGGAGGGCCUCCUCACUUGAGAUGCAAUGAGAAGAUAAGAAGUUUUCCAAGGUAAUGGUUCUAGAAGAUUUCUAGAGCUGCUUCAAGAAGGUUCGAGAUACUCUAAGGGUGCAAUAGUCAAGACUUGGUUUAACUCACCAAAGUAGAGAUUGUUAGGAUUUAACUUGUCAAUGUUAGAGUCCUAUUUUGUUUAGGAUUGUAUUAGGACAGCUAAAGGUGCACAAAUUCUUGUUCUAUAUGGAUUAGGAAAGAAUUCAUGGCGCGUUUACAUAAGGGGAGUGGGACAAGAGGAAUGGGAAUUGCACUCCUCCCAGGUUAUUCAAGUGUUUACCAACACUUGAGGGAAUGAAAUGUAUGUGGGACCCAUCUAAUAUGGGGAAUCAGACUCCCAAUAUACUCGGAAUCAGUCUCCUGAACAAUAGAUGAGAUUUGAAUUCCAGGAGAAAGCCUCUAUCUGAAAUCCUUUUUUUCUACCCAAAAUACCCUUAUCUCAUCCCUUCCACCUCUUUCUCUGCUUCUGUGUGUCUCUGCGGGCAGUGACCAAUAUCAAAGGAGAAGAAAAAUCGUAAGGGAAGAAGAAGAAGAUGGAGAAAAGAGAUGGAGAAGCUAAAAAGAAUUGGGAAAUGGGGUGUUGCGCGGUCUUCACGAGAAAGAAAAAACAAUUGGCGGAUGGGGAAGAAGAAUCAAAAGGGAGCAAGAAGAAGACGGGAAGAAUCAGAAGAAUGGGAGGCUGAAAAAAAUUGGGGGAUGCUUGAAAAGAAUUGGGCAAUGGGGUGCAGUUUGGGCCUCAGGAGAAAGAAAAAUAAUUGAGGGAUGGGGAAGCAGAGCCCACUCCAUAACUUUAUUCAACAAUCCAAACCAUCUAUAUUUCAAUUCAUCAUUUAUAAAUCAUCAUUGCAAAAAUUAGAAAACCCUAAAUCAUUAAUAAGUUUAUUUGUAGAAAAUUAAAUGGAUGAAUACAGUUGUGCAAAAAAAAUACUAAAAUGAAUAUCAUUUAAUCUAACUUAAAUAUUGUUUUGUUUUUUGGUGAAUAUUGGUAGACACGUUAUUUGCGGGAAGACCAAAAAAAUAAACGGUUAGAAAAAAAGUUGCUUAAUGUGCUCUACGAAUGAGUAUCAAAUGUGUUUUAAAAAAAUGAAUGUCCCCGAUCCUAAUCCUUAUAUACAAAAUUUCAUGACAAGCACAAAGAAAUAAAUCUCAUAGGGAUUUCGACUAAGCUUUAAUUUUAUUUUAGGAGAAAUUAGGUUCUCAUCCUUCCUUUUGCUACUCCAUUGAUUAAAAUCCUAUUCUUUUCCAAUUUUUGAUCAAGGUCCUUGGGUAUUAAUAACAUCAUUAAUUAUUUCAAUAAUAAAAUAUUUUUAUUUCUAAAUAUAUUCAUUUAAUGUUAAAAAUGUUACAAUUAGUAUAUUUAUAUUUAUGACUAAAUUUUUUAUCAUAUUUUUAGUUUUAGUUUGUAACCAUUUUUAAUUUGCAAUCCUUUUUUAAUUUUUACCAAUUUUUUUUUCAGUUUGAAUUUGUACCCAUAUAUUAAUUUCUUUUUUUGCCCAUAUUUUUUAAAGUUUUAUUUGUAUUUGUACCCAUAUUUAAAAAAAAAAAUUAUUUGUACCCAUUUUUUAUUUUACCAAAUGUACCCAUGCUAAUUAUAUGUACCCAUUCAUUUAAUUUUUUUCAAAAUUUUAAUCUUAAAAUGUACUCAUUCUUAAAUAUACCAAUUUACUAUAUGUAAAAUGUACCAUUUUUUUAUAUAAAAUCUAUUCAUUUUUUUUCUAAUCCAUUUUUAAACUUAUAUGGGUACAUUAUUUUUUAUUUGAUUUUAAAAUGUAUCAAUGUCAAGUUUAAUCGAAAAAAAUUACUAAUGUUAUUAAGCCUAAUAUCUUUCUUUUUUUGUGAUUUUGAAGAAUGUACCCAUGUUUUUAUACAAUAAUUUUUUGGUUAAUUUUGAUGAAUGUACCCAUGUUUAUAUACACACACACACAAUAAUAUAUUUAUAUUUUAAUAUUUUUAAUCCCACAAAUUAUGGUUUUUUAUUUAAAAUCUCAUUUAUAUAAACAACUAAAAAAUUUAGUUUUUAAUUUUAAAAAUAUAGUACGUACAUAGAAAUAAAUUAUCACAUUAAUUUCAGGGACUUCAAUCAAAAAUUGAAAACCAACAAGAUUUCAAUCAAAGAAUAUUUAUAAAUAGGGACCGCAUCCAAAGUCUCCCUUUAUUUUAUAUUUUUCUUUUUAUGAAAGGUUGUAUCAAUUCCCCCAAAAACGUAUAGAUCGUAUCAACUAUCACAUUCCCAAUGGAUUUAGGACCAAAGAAUACAAUGGAACAAAGAAUCCAGCAUAAAGAGUAAAUAGAGAAGGGCAAAUUAAAAAAAGGAUAAAAUACUGAUAUAGAUUCAUAUUAAGGACAUGUAGAUUUGGAUAAGGAGUAAAAAGACAAUACCUUUAAAGGAAAAUUCACACGAGACUUCUUGUUCUUGAAGAUGGAGAAAAUGCAAAGCUCCAUGCUGCAAGUAAAGAGUGAUGACUUAUUAAAGAGAGCUUAAAGAAUGUUUAAAGACAGUUUGGGCAUUGGGCAUACAAGAAUAGGGGUUGUUUAUUUCAAUAUAGGAGGAGAGCAUGUUAUGGAUUGAGAUUGCUUUUAAAAUAGUUAAAAGCGUUUUGGGACAAUAAAAAAACUUCAAUGACGAGCCUUUGACUGUUUUUGGAAGAAGAGUUAAAAAAUGUUUUUGAGUCAUAAAAGUGUUUUUGAAGAAAUACAUGAUAGAUGCUUCUUCAAGAAGCACUUCCAAAUACUUUUUCAAUAAGCACUUGGUUUAUUUAUUUUUAUAUAAACUCCACAUUAAAAUCUCCAAUACACGCACUUCUAGCAAAAAUCGUUUAUAAGUGAUUCCUAUACAACCAAUUCCCACUUCAUGUUGUUGAAACCCCCAUUUUUCAAGUGCUUCCUAUAUUCAACCAACGUAUUUCCAGUUUUUGCCAAACAAAAUGCUUUUACUCGUACAAUAACUAAUAAGCACUAAUCAUGCCAAAAGUACUUCCAAUAAGCCCGUAAAAGCGGUUGAAACAAGACCUUUCAUUAUAUAGGUCAAUCGAUUUUUCGAUAUUUUCCAACAUUAGAGGAACAAAUGCAACUGAUAGCCUAAAUAUUAUCCAUGCAAAUUUGAAUAAGCAAGAAUUCAUCCAUGUUAUUUCAAAUUGUAAAUUAUAUAAAAUGAAAUAGAUUACCCAUGGCAAAAAAGCACUUACAUGGAAUGGAAGUAUGGAACUAGAGAGAUGAGAGAUGGCUCGCUAACAAAUCCGGACUGAAAUUAAAGGAAUAAUAACUUCUUCAGGAGAGUGUAUAUCAACCGUCUAACUGUAAAAAGUGAAACUCUGUUAAGAAAAAAGUUAGAGAAAUUAUAAUUUUCUUGUUUCACUGAAUUUUUUCAAAGCUCUUAGUAUUUACUGAAUAGAAUAUUAUUGUUUCACUGAAUUUUCUUGUUUCACUGAAUUUUUUCAAAGCUCUUAGUAUUUACUGAAUUUUUUCGUUAAAACUCCCUUAAUUUUAUUUUAUAUUUUUCUUUUUAUGAAAGGUUGUAUCAAUUCCCCCAAAAACGUAUAGAUCGUAUCAACUAUCAAAUUCCCAAUGGAUUUAGGACCAAAGAAUACAAAUGGACCAAAGAAUCCAGCAUAAAGAGUAAAUAGAGAAGGGCAAAUUAAAAAAAGGAUAAAAUACUGAUAUAGAUUCAUAUUAAGGACAUGUAUAUUUGGAUAAGGAGUAAAAAGACAAUACCUUUAAAGGAAAAUUCACACGAGACUUGUUGUUCUUGAAGAUGGAGAAAAGCAUGAUCUGCUACAGUAGAGUGAUGACUUAUUAAAGAGAACUUAAAGAAUGUUUAAAGACAGUUUGGGGAUUGGGCAUACAAUAAUAGGGGUUGUUUAUUUCAAUAUAGGAGGAGGGCAUGUUUUGGAUUGUGACUGCUUCUAAAAAAGUUAAAAGUGUUUUGGGACAAUAAAAAAAACUUUAAUGACGAGUCUUUGGCUGCUUUUGGAAGAAGAGUUCAAAAGUGUUUUUUGAGUCAUAAAAGUAUUUUUUUGAAAAACAUAUGAUAGAUGCUUCUUCUAGAAGCACUUCCAAAUACUUUUUCAAUAAGCACUUGGUUUAUUUAUUUUUAUAUAGACUCCACAUUAAAGUCUCUAAUACACGCACUUCUAGCAAAAAUCGUUUAUAAGUGAUUCCUAUACAACCAAUUCCCACUUCUUUAUGCUGUUGAAACCCCCAUUUUUCAAGUGCUUCCUAUAUUCAACUAACGUAUUUCCAGUUUUUGUCAAACAAAAUGUUUUUACUCGUACAAUAACUAAUAAGCACUAAUCAUACCAAAAGUACUUCCAAUAAGCCCGUAAAAGCUAUUGAAACAAGACCUUUCAUUAUCAUAUAGGUCAAUCGAUUUUUCGAUAUUUUCCAACAUUAGAGGAACAAAUGCAACUGAUAGCCUAAAUAUUAUCCAUGCAAAUUUGAACAAGUAAGAAUUCAUCCAUAUUAUUUCAAAUUGUAAAUUACAUAAAAUGAAAUAGAUUACCCAUGGCAAAAAAGCACUUACAUGGAAUGGAAGUAUGGAACUAGAGAGAGGAGAGAUGUCUCGCUAACAAAUCGGGACUAAAAUUAAAGGAAUAAUAACUUCUUCAGGAGAGUGUAUAUCAACCGUCCAACUGUAAAAAGUGAAACUUGUUAAGAAAAAAGUUAAGAGAAAUUAUAGUUUUCUUGUUUCACUGAAUUUUUUCAAAGCUCUUAGUAUUUACUGAAUAGAACAUUAUGGUUUCUUUCCUAGUGACAAGCUCAGAGACAUGUCCUGAGCAUGGUUUGUGGGAUAAUAAUUACAUGAUGGAAAUGCAAAAUUUCCUGACAUGCACAAAGAAAUAAAUCCCAUAGGGGUUUGGACUAAUCUGUAAUUUUAUUUAUUUCUUCUUUUUUACGAAAGGCUGUAUCAAUCUCUAAAAGUAUUAUAAGAUUGUAUCAAUUCUCAAAUUUUUAAUGGAUUUAGGGUUUAGCAUCAAGAAAACAAAUGGACCAAAAGAGUAAGCAGAGAAAGGCAAAUGAAAAAAAGGACAAGGUAUAGAUAUGGAUUCAUAUUUAGGACAUGCAGAUUUGGAUAAGGAGUAAAAACACAAUACCUUUAAAGGAAAAUUCACACGGUACUUCUUGUUCUUGAAGAUGGAGACUUGUUCUUGAAGAUGGAGAAAGACCUGCUCUGACAUAUAAGAAUUGGUUAAGCACUCUCAUCAAAGUGCUUUCAGUUAUAUCAAAGACACUUUCAAAUAAGCCCUUGGAUUUUCCAUGACAAAAAACUUACAUGAAAUGAAAGUAUGGGAGUUGAGAGAUGAGACAUGGCUCACUAAUAAAUCCGGACUGAAAAUUGAAGGAAGAAUAACUUGCACUUUCUUUUGCUUUAUAUCAUAAAAAUUUCUACUUCCUUUAUUUGCUGUCUACGGAAUCCCUUUCCACCAUACUACUCCAUCUAUUCAUUCUUUCUUCAAACUUGCUUUUGGUAUACAUUCUUACUUCAAGUAGCAAUGAAAGCAUGUCCUUUGGCCUUCCCUAGUAGUUUUUAUGUUCUUGCGCUUGAUCUCUGUGAAAUUGUUUAUGUAGCGGUGAGAGUUUAACAGUUUUAAUAAUUAUAUUUUAUUAGAAGCAAACUCAUGAAACUUGCAUGUUAAAACUCAACGGUUGAAAUCACUCUCCUGGACUUGAAUUUUUCGGCCUGCCGUGUUAGUUUGAUUCCAACUUUAACCAUCACAACGAACAAAGUGUUAUCUUCUGCUUUAAAUCUUUUGAAGGGAAAUGUUCUCUUGCAGAAUGAAUUAGGAAACAAAAAAUUAUUUGUGUUAUCGUACAACGAACUUAAACAGAUUCUUACCUGAAUGUGUGGUCCAGAUAAAACAUUCCAUUCCUUCAACGUGAAAUAUGAAUUUGCUUUAUUUGUAAUUUAUCCUAAGAUUGGAUACACGUAGAACCGUGGAAUUGUUCUUAUUCAAGGACGAUAAUGGUUACAAAUAAAUGUUCUCUUGCAGUGCUGUUUGAUCCGACACCUUCCACGGCAGUGCUCAAAUAUAAACCAGAUUAUUUUUCACCGCAUAAGCUUGAUUCUGGACUUCUGCCGGAACUGCUUCUUUGUUACGCACCAGGGGCCCGGGAAGGUGCUCAGCUGCAUUAUUACCAGGUAAAUUAUAGCAAACAAAAUGUGAAACCCAUCGCCCAGAAGAUUAGUAAGAUUCCCAAUUCAUAUUCCAUUAUUUAUCAAAAAAGACACGGAAAUUUUACUUGUAAUUGAAUGAUACCUGCGAGUCCUGGUAAACAUGCGGCGCCUCCUCACAAAACAACUGUCUUGAACCAUGCAUCGUCUCCUGUUAGUUCUGCCGAAUGGCAAUGUUCCAUGCAAAGAGCAACAGCCUGGUGCAAACCCAUAGUACGCCUAUAUGAAAUAUGACAUUAUAAGUUCCAAAUAAAAUUUCCCAUUGAAAUUCUGUUUUCCGAAUAAACUAACUAGUAAAAUUUGGAGAGAACAUGAUUAGCAAUUUAUCAUACUAACAAAUACGCAUCCUUUUUAAGUUUCCACUAUCCAAUCCUUCAACCAGUAAAGCAUAGGGCAAACUGAACCUCUUACCUCAGGAUGUCGAGCUCGCUUAGUAACUUCCUAUUUAUCAUUCCACCAAUAAAUUUCCAAACUAUGACAUGAGAAGAAAGAACAAAAGCUAGAACUAGAAAAAGCCUUCUUUAAACAAACUGUGGCGUUCUACUGGUCAUAUUAACACUCACGGAUAGCAUUCUAUGACGAUAAAAAUCCAAGCUAUACCUCUUUCACAGUCCGAACUGUUGUGUUUGGCUCAUAUAAUUAUGAGUUGGCAACCAUUUCCUCUCAACUUUGUGGACUUUGGAAGCAUGUUUUGUGGAAGCAUGUUUUGUGGAAUUUGGAAACAUGACCCGUAAACUUUGUUUUUUGGUGGUUGACAUAAUUGAAGGUGCAUGUCUAUAAGUGAAGGCAUUUUUCAUACACAAAAAAAAAGUGAGCUUGCCAAUUGUGAAGAAAGUGGGUGUGCAUCCGGAAAACACAAAGGAGAGAAAAAUAUAGAGUGAGAGUGAGAAACUCUUGGGAAGAGUGAGUCUCUUAGUAAAAUUCUGUGAGGGUACAAGGGGUUGGGGUUUGGGGUUUGGGUUAUGUUGAUUUAACUCAAGUGUAUCUUGUACUAGUUAUUCUCAUAGUGAAGAGCAAUAUCUCUUAGAGGACGUAGGCAGGUUUUUGCCGAACCUCGUAAAUCUCUCAGUGUCUUUAUUUCUUGUAUUUUAUUCUGUUCAACUGAGUGUGAAUAUGGUGAGGUUGUAAUCUGAAUCUCGUUUCCGCACUAACGAACGGGCCAAGGCACAACAAUUGGUAUCAGAGCUUUGUUGGAAGCUUUGGUUCAUUGACGGUUCAGAUUUUUUAUUCACCAUGAUGACUACAAACAUGUCAUUUUCAGUUGAGAAGUUUAAUGGGAAAGGCAGUUUUACUCUUUGGCAGAUGAGAGUAAAGGAUGUCUUGACUCAACAAGGCUUGGCUAGAGCUUUGAAGGGAAAAGAUGGGAAGCCUCAAGAAAUGACAGAUGACCAGUGGGAGGAGCUGGAGGCGCGUUGUGUUAGCACGAUUCGACACUGUAUAGCAGAUAACAUUAUCAAUAAUGUUAUGGAUGAAGAUUCUACGCCUGCACUUUGGGAGAAGUUGGAAAAACUCUAUAUUGCUAAGAGUUUGACCAACAAGUUGCAUUUGAAGCGGAAACUGUACAAGCUGAAGAUGGAUGAAGGUGGGAAUCUCAUGGACCACAUGAAUGAGUUCAACGGAUACUUGGAUCAAUUGCGGAAAGUUGACAUUAAGGUUGAGGAAGAAGACAAAGCCCUCUUACUUCUUACCUCACUUCCAGAUUCGUAUGAAAAUCUUGUGACAACCUUACUGCAUGGAAAAGAUACAGUAAGUUUGGAGCAGGUGCAAGCUUCUUUGGUGUCUUAUGAUACACAAAAGAAGAAGACCAUUGUUGAUGGUGGGCACGAGACUGCUUUAGCUGUUCAAGGUUGGAAUCGUGGAAGAAAAUUGGGAGAAGGAUCUGAGAGAGACAACAGGUUCAAAUCCGGUUCCGGAGGCAAAGGUCUACAAUGCUACAACUGCAAAGAAUUCGGACAUAAAAAGAAAAAUUGUCCUUUGAGAAAAAGAAAGGAUGAUCUUGGUCCGGGUUGUAGCAAUUUUGUGGCGGAAGACUUCGAGUAUGCCCUCUAGGUACUCGAAGCAACACUUCUCCUGGUGAUGUUUAGUCUCAAGUGUUGCAGGGGUUUUGCAACAGGUGGAGCUAUGGGAUUCACAGGUGAUGAGAUGAUCAUGAGGUAGGAGGAAGUGUGGGAAUUUUGUCUGGCUCGAUGGGUUGUUACUGGAAACGGGCGCGCUAACGAGUUUCCAGGUUGCAGACAAUGAAGAGGAGGAAAACCUGCUGGAGGAGACGAGGAUGUGUCGAGAUCCUGUCUGAAGCUAAAUGGUGAUUUUUAGCUUGCAGCAGCUGCACAUGCAUUGGCAGUGACUGAAUCAGGAACAAGACCAACGAGGUUGAUUCAGGGUGUGUAUGCUGGUACGUAAGGCCAAUGGACAUUGGUGAUGGGUGCAAGGAUUUUUGCACAGUAUAUUCGCCAAGAUGGAGAUUGUUGUGUUUGGCUCAUAUAAUUAUGAGUUGGCAACCAUUUCCUCUCAACUUUGUGGACUUUGGAAGCAUGUUUCGUGGAAGCAUGUUUUGUGGAAGCAUGUUUUGGGGAAACAUGUUUUGUGGAAGCAUGUUUUGUGGAAUUUGGAAACAUGACCCGUAAACUUUGUUUUUUGGUGGUUGACAUAAUUGAAGGUGCAUGUCUAUAAGUGAAGGAAUUUUUCAUACACAAAAAAAGUGAGCUUGCCAAUUGUGAAGAAAGUGGGUGUGCAUUCGGAAAACACAAAGGAGAGAAAAAUAUAGAGUGAGAGUGAGAAACUCUUGGGAAGAGUGAGUCUCUUAGUAAAAUUCUGUGAGGGUACAAGGGGUUGGGGUUUGGGUUAUGUUGAUUUAACUCAAGUGUAUCUUGUACUAGUUAUUCUCAUAGUGAAGAGCAAUAUCUCUUGGAGGACGUAGGCAGGUUUUUGCCGAACCUCGUAAAUCUCUCAGUGUCUUUAUUUCUUGUAUUUUAUUCUGUUCAACUGAGUGUGAAUAUGGUGAGGUUGUAAUCUGAAUCUCGUUUCCGCACUAACGAACGGGCCAAGGCACAACACGAACAGUGUACAGUGAGUCAAAAUUGAUAUUGCUCUGCUGCAAUAGCUCCCUACGGAACCCUGUAAGCUUCAGCGCUCCCAAUCCCAUAACCUCCACACCCACCUUGCGCAUAACUUUACCAUUUAAAACUGUAAACACAAUAGUAACCCUGUAACUUUACCAUUUGAUUAAUUGUGAAGAAAAAAAAAAUACAACAAAAUUGUAAAAGAGAAACUAUGCACAUUCCCUACGAAAGCAUCAAGUAUGACCAGAGAUCUUUUCAGUAGUUAAUAAAUCUGAAAUCACGAGAAAGAUCAAACGUAGAAUGGCUUACUUGGAACAAUAGAAGUGACCUGGAAACCAAUGUUUACAACAAUCCCUGAAGUUCGUCUUGCUGCAUACAAAGCUAAAGUUGCCUGCAGUUUCAAUAGCAGACAAUGAAUACUGGACCUAGACUCAAUUAACCCAUUUAUACACUGAGAGAUGCAGUUCCAGAUGACAUGACAACUUUGCACAAUUGCAAUGCCAUUGGUCCAUUCUUCCCUAUGGUUUAUGGGAAAACAUAUAUAUUAUUAUGGAGGGGAUGGGGAACAGUUUACCUGAUUAACGGCACCGACAGCAGGGACAUUCAUGUCAAAAAGUACUUUGUAUAUGGCUUCUUUGAGCUGCCGUCUCGAUGCCUUAGCAGAUUCAGUAUCUAGAAUAAAAAAUAAGAAAAAAAAUAGCACAUUAGGUGGAUGAAGACACUACUUUGUGAAGGAUAACAAGACAAAGGAAUUGUGCAACUAAUCCAAAUUAUAACUCUAGGGCAGCAACUCACCAUCAUAAUGGCAGAUUGGUAUAGACAAAACCACGGGCUGCGAAGAUGGUUUCACCUGCAUCCUAAGAAGAAACACAAUCACAUAUAUCAGCUAUACCUGCUAUCAAAGAUUCAAAGGAAUCGCAGUGAACCAGCAUGCCACAUGAUAACGAAGGUAGUGCAGUUUCUUUCUUCUCUACUUUUAAACUGAAAAGAGGAAAAGUAUCUCAAAUGUGCUUACUUGUAUUUAUGUAAUUGAACAUGCAGAUUGAAUAAAGAAAUGUUUGCAAUUAACUAAGAGAAAGAGGAUUGCAUCAAGAAGAACAGCUACAAGCUUCUUUAACUAUGAAGUUGCUUGACUAAUAAUAGUGAAAACUAAAAUAUAGGAGGACACACCUGCUAUAAAUAUUCACAAAAAAAAAAAUGGCGGAGUCUUGAUUACAUUGGCGACUCAACAUUACCAAAUUCCUGCGAGUCAGAUCACUUCAGAACAUUGUAGUGAUAGACAUAGCAAGAAAAAAGUGUGCAAUCAAAAGUGACAGGUAUAUUAAACAAUCUAACAAUCAUGUGGAAUGGAAGGUUUAUGCAAAAGAACUUCUUGACUGUGAGCUGAAAUAAACAUCUCACCAAAAAGGUUGCUGAUCGGCCUGAUGGACAUGCGUAUUUGCUCCAGCCAAACUUGCAAUAGCCAGAGCCCCCUUCCCAAGAAAUGUAAAGAUAAAAUGAGGGAACGGUUUAUGUUGGAGCUACAUAAACCCAAACGUUUGCUAACAAAACAAAAUCAUAACUCUACUCAUAUUAUUACAGAUGCUAGAUAAUAGUGAUAAUAAAACAUUGAAUAGCUAUUGUUAGCCUUCUUAAACAUAAAUACUGUUACUGCGUAAAGAGGCUAGAGACACUCACCGUCAAUGAUAACAAAACCAGGAACUCGUUGACCAUAAAUACCCAUGUAGGACAACUGGCGACUCUCACCCAAGAAUGUUCUUCAACAAAAACAAUAUUUGAAUAAGGCCAUAAAACUCAAAAAACAAUUCAAUGCACAGGCACCAAUCAACAUAUACAUUAUUUCGGCAUCAAAGAACAAAUUCAAUAGACAAGUCCAUGGUUUCCUCACCAAAAGAAUGGCGUAACAUUUUCUCCAAGAUACUAACACUCAAUUUCAAUUAUCACAACGAACAAAUACAACCAAUUAAAAUCCCGUUCACAAUUCUGACAUUUUUAUGUUUGACCACAUGAAAAUCACACCUUUGCACAACUUUGCCAAAAAUAAAAAUUUCUGUCAGUAAAAAUUCCACUCUUUACUGCCACUGAUAAUAAUUUAAAUACAAAAAAGUUCAUUUAAUCGAUAAUCAUAGACUUUAGAACUUAUGAACUGAGCUGCCGCUAAGCCUUGAACUUUCCCGGCAAAAAAUAAAAUAAAAUAAAUUUCACAGUAAACUCUCAAUCUUUGAACACUAAUUUGAAUUCAAAUUAUUUAUAUAUAACUGAUAACAAAGACGUUAAAUUUGAAUCCCAAAGUGGGAUUUUUCAGCUGAGAACAUUAAAUUUAAAAAAAAAUCAAAAAUUGAGAAGUGGGAAAUGCUUGAAAUUGAACAUACUGAAGUGGGUAUCCGAAUCUCAAAUGGGUUUCCGGGAAAGCAAAGGAUUCCCAAUAAUUCUCCUCCUCCAGCUUCUGAUUCUUUAGAAAGAAAAUCCACAGCUCGUUCUCGGAGACGACGCACCGCCACGCUCUGCACACGACGCUCAAUUUCACGGCUCCUUGGGCCCCACCAGUCUCGCGAUUUGCAUCAGUAGGUCUGUCGGCACUCGAUCGAACGCCCCGAAACCCGCCGUUUCCGACGGAGAGCUCGAAGAAGAAGACGACGACGUUGACUCUGAACACGAAACCGUGCGGCUUGACACCAACUCCCACACUUUUCUGAUCAACGUCGUCAUGGUUUUCUUCGGCCCACAACGAUUAGCUUCUUUCUUCUCAAUUUUUGCUGUGGAGAACUUUCUCGGGAAAAUUAGCCGAGAAAAUUUUAGUUUCCAGGUUCAAAUUACUUAACUUGAACCCUUUUAUAUAAGGAGGUCAUUUUCCUAUGGUUUUACUUUACCAGUGAUGCCGCCAAAAUUAAAGUUUUCAUUUUUAUGUGUUAAGAAGUAAUUUGGUUACCCUGGUUAUGUUAUCGGAUGUGGCAAGUUUUGUAAUUUUAUAUAAGGAGGGCAUUUUUGUUGGAUGUGGCAAAGUUUGUAUGUUUACAAGUGCGAUUUUUGCAUAGUCCGAGAUACUAAGUGUUACACGAUUUAUGAUAUUGAAUUUUCAUGCAUGGUAACUCAGUGACAUAUGUUGUGUAGUCGAGCACAUGCAUGACAUGGUUGUUUUCAUUCUCCAUUCUUGUUGUGAUUCUUAUUGUGUGAACAUCGAUCUAGUUGUUAUGGUUUUCCUGAUUCUUUUCUUCUCACCCGAGAAUAUUCUUCAACAAAAACAAUAUUUGAAUAAGCUCGGCCAUUAGACUCCAACCACAAUUCAAUGAACAAGCAUCAAGCAUCAUAUACAUUAUUUCAGGAUCAAAGAACACAUUACCAAAACAAUGGCGUAACGUUUUCUCCAAGAUACUAACACUUCAUUCAAUUAUAACAACGAAAAACUACAACCAAUUAAAACCCCAUUCACAAUUCUGACUUUCUUUAUGUUUGACCGCUUGACAUUCUUUUAUGUUUGAAUUGAGUUGCCACCAAGUCUUAAACUUUUCCAACAGAAAAAAAAAUACAAAAACGAAAUUUCUAAGUAAACUCUCAAUCCCUUGGCACUAAUUUGAAUUGAAAUUAUUUAUAUUUAAUUCAUAACAAUUGAAUUCCAAAGUGAGAUUUUUCAGCUGGGUAGAUAAAAUUGAAAAAACAAAAGAAUUAAGAAAAAUCGAAAAUUGAGUAGUGGGAAGUGGGAAAUGCUUGAAAUGGAGCAUACUAUAAGUGGUUUUCAGGAAAACACUGGAUUCCCAAAAUACUCUUAUUUUAUCCUGAGGAAUCUUUUAACAAGAGCGAUUCUCAUUUUUCAUAAAAAAAUGGGAACAUUCUAUUGACCGUUAGAUUUGGCUUCAAUGAAAUUUUGUGGUUGAGAUUCUGUGACCUGUGAUUUAAUUUCAACCACAGAAUUUCAUUAAAGCCAAAUCUAACGUUCAAGAAGAUAUCUCCAUUUUUUUUUUUGAAAAAUAGGGAUCCUCUUAUUAAAUGGCCUGUUAUCCUGAUGAGUUUGCCUACAAUAACAUGUUCAGAGGUUUUGUUCAAAACAUGAUUAGAGGAUUCAUAUUAGAAAACCGGAUUGACAUUUUUACCCCCAUUUUAACUGUUAUUUAUUUUUAACAAACAAUAUAUCUACACUUACUUUAUUUAGUAAAAUGACGGAUUUAGCCAGCAUGGUCUAUCUGCUUCUUUGACGAAAACCCUCCUAACGCUCUUACCCUACAACAGCGUGGUCUAUAUGUUUUUCAAGUUUGAAUAAACUUUGGUAUUCCUUUUAGUUUUAAUCGUGUUUAAAUUGAAGUCUUAAUUUCGGUGGUUUGUUCAUAAUUAAUGUGAUAUGCUGUUUUACUGUGUGUUUUAUGUGUUUGUUUAUUUAUGGGAGUCUUCACAAGAAAUGUUGUGCAAAGAUAUUUUGCUUCUAUCAAGUAUACGAUAAUGUUACAUUCAUUCUUUUAAUAUUUAAUUUUGUAAAUUUAUUUUUUAAUAUUUUUGUCAUAAAAAUGCCCAAGCUUUUCUCAGUCGGUUUGCUUUCCUGAUUUCUGCUUUUGCCCUUUUGCUCCCUGCGUGCAGAUAAAGGAAGAACCCAUAAGUGAUAUGUUCACUGAACGACUUGAUAGGAGUGCUCUUCAUUGGGUUAGAGAGGUUCGUGAAGAAACCUCUGGCUCGAUCUCUCCGAAGACGAAAGCUGUGUAGCCGAUUCAUCCCCUCCGGUUUGAAGGGUUGAGGUUGUGACGGUACGGAUCAUCGACAAUAAAUCCCGGGUUUUGGUGGAAUCCCACCAAGAAUUAUCGGACGGCUGCGUCAGGACCAAGCCACUGAUGUCUUUCGCUGUCGCAGCAUGUCCCUAAUCUUAAGCUUCCCAUUAUACUAGCUCAUUCUUUUUUAGUUUUUGUUCCUUUUCUUUUAGCAUAAUGUUAAGAGAAUUUUAACGAAAAGCUCAUGGUACUAUUUAUUUUAACGAAAAAUUACAUUUUUACACUAAAAAGUCAAUCCUUGUACUAUUCAAUUUAUCCUUUAUUUUAUCUAUUUCGUUAAAACUCAAAAUUUUCAAACAUUUUUCAUUAGUUUUCCUUAAUUUUAAUCGCUGAACAUUUGUAUUAUAUGCAGCUUAUGUUGGGUGACAUUGUGAUUUCUGUUGAGACAGCGACAAGGCAAGCGGAGGAAAGAGGCCACACGCUUAUUGAUGAGAUACGUGUUCUCAUGGUUGAAGGAUUUUUUUCGUUGGAGAACCGAUUAAUUCAGAGGGAUGCUUUUUAGUGUAGUUUGAUGACUUUAAUCACUGAACCCUCCUGCAGAUACAUGGGUUGUUACAUUUACUAGGAUUUGAUCAUGAGAUUAGUGAAGAGGCCGAAGUGGAAAUGGAGAAGGAGGAGGAGGAGCUCCUUUGAAGAGUCUUGGGUGAAAGGGGAAAUGAUUAAUUCAAAGUGCACAUGAUGCCGAAACUCACACAAAUUGCCAUGAGGAAAAACCAGAUGGUAAUUUCAUCUUUUACAGCUUCAGUUUCACAUUAUUCGUCAUUGGAUUUGCUAAUAUAAGUUUUUAGUGAGAUAGUCUUACUGUUGAAUUGUUAAAAGGUUGGAAAAGAGAAGGCAGCCUGCGAUUUUAUAAAUCAAAGUUCAGAUGCAUUUUUUGUGUAUGGAUGGUAAGUUGGUGGUUAAUGUAAUCUUGCGCCUUCACUGUGCUUUUUUUUUUAAUUUGUUAGAUGAUCAAUUGAUGUAUUUUAUGGCAGUUGAUCUGCAAGAUGUAAAGAUGAUUUCUUUGUUUAUGUAUACUGUUUAAUUAUAUCAAUGGAAAUUGGUGCUGCCAUUGUGGCAGGCAGUAGAUGAAUUUCUGGCUUUUGAGAUGAAGUACUAUAAAAUUUUGAUUUCUUUUUUCUUUACAUGCUUUGCUUUAAUUUUGCAGGAAUUCUCACGUCGCUUUGAUUAAGUUAUACAUGGCCAUGAUAAGGUAUUGCUCAUCAGCCUCAUCCCCACAAACAUUUUGUUCAUGUGUGACAUUAAUAUAUUUUGUUUUCCGAUUGAAUUUGUUUUGAUUCAAUGGGGUUGGUGAGCUAAACAGCACGCGGCUUUUUAAUCGUGUUUAAAUUGAAGUCCUAAUUUCGGUGGUUUGUUCAUAAUUAGUGUGUUAUGUUGUUUUACUGUGUGUGUGUGUUUUUUUUAUGUGUUUGUUAAUUUAUGGGAGUCUUCAAAAGAAAUGUUGUGUACGAAGAUAUUUUGCUUCCGUCAAAUAUAUGAUAAGGUUACAUUCAUUCUUUUAAUGUUUAAUUCGCUUUUCAAAUCCACGUAGAUAAAUACAUUUAAAUUCUAUAAGUCGCGUGUAGAACGUCGUGAUUAUAAAAAGGCCUUAUGCAAAUGCGUGAGCGCCUGCAGGAGGCUAGUUAUGGAUAAUAGUGAUGCUAAAACAUUGAAUUGCUAUUGUUAGCCUUCUGAAAAAUAUUGUUAAUGCAUAAGGAGGCUAGAGAUGAUGUCAAUGAUAAAAAAAUCAAGAACUUGAACUCGUUGACCAUAGAUACCCAUGUAGGACAGCUGAGGACUCUCACCGGAGAAUGUUCUUCAACAAAAACAAUAUUUGAAUAAGCUCGCCCAUUAAACUCCAAUCACAAUUGAAUGAACAAGCACCAAAUAGCAUAUACAUUAUUUGAGCAUCAAAGAACACAUUCAUAAGACAAGUCCAUGGUUUCCUCACCAAAACAAUGGCGUAAUGUAAGAUCUCACAUCGUCCUGGGAAUAAAAGGUGAUGUGUCUUAUAUGUACUUGCCCACCUUCCUAUAGUAAGACGCGUUUUGGGCGGAAACUCAAGAACAAAUCCGUGAGGGUAUGCCCCAAAGCGGACUAUAUCUUACUAUGCUGACUGAGAUGUGACAAUUUGACAUGCCCCGACCCUGAUAUUCCCCGAAUACCAGGAUAGACACGUGCUGGCCGACACCCGAGGGUGACGAAAGCCAUUAAUUGAUACAAAAGCUAAGAAUAAGAAAUAAAUGAGGGUUAGAAAUUUGAAAUACAAUGAGUUAACAGUUUUAGGAACAUGUUCAGAACAUACAACUAACCCUAAUCACUAAAAAGAAUUAAGAUAAAAUUUAAUGAAUAAAGGAGUGAGUCCUACAUUCGAGAGGAUCCGAAGAUGCUGCUACGGAAGUGCCUUGACGUUAGGAUUAGGUGCCUUGAUUCUAAGUCCUGAAUGGGGGCGCAAAACAAAGGUGAGUGGACCAAGUUCAUAUAUAUAAUAAUAAUAAAACAAUUAUCAAGAUACUAACCCCCAAAGUUUAAUAGUGAAAACUACUAGCAUAGUAAGUGAUGGAUUUAAUAAAAAUUCUAGCAUGCCAAAAAUAUCUCAAAAGCCAUAUUGCAGAAUCUCAUCGCAGAAAUCAAAACAGUAAACGUCUCAUAAAUCGUCUCGUAAGCGCGGUGUGCUGCUAGAAAGAUUACUGAAUGAAUAUAACUCCCGGCCCAAUGCCUGCACCUCAGUCUCUGUGCCCGUAGCCAGAGAUAACUCCCUCCCGGCCCAAUGCCUGUCUCCGUGUCCCUCAGCCUUUCGCUAGGGAUUAUUUCUCCCAGCCCACAUGCCAACACCAGAUCCUCGCCCAAGGCGGCAUAGUGUCCACUAGGUACGCACAAAUAGUUACGUCUCUCGUAAAUACCACUUCAUAGCGUAGGUUACCGAUCAUCGUCUACACUAUAAAGAGGGGUUCAAAACAUGUUCUAGUAUCCUAUCGUCAUCUGUCAGAUAGUCUAUCAGUUCAUGGUUUUUAUAGAAAAUACGAUAUAUUGAAAUAUAGCUCAGUAUAGGCUAACAAUUAAUUCCUCACCAAAACACGAGACGAUAAUCAAUAUAUUUAAUUGACAUGCUUCAUAUAAAUCACUUCAUAAAUUCGUAGGCAUGCUAAUCAUUUAUGCAAUUAAACUAUAAAAUCAUGUAAUUUUAGAAGGGGUCCACUCACAGUACUUAGCCGCCAAAGCUGCGCCACUAGCGAAGACGGAAACGUCACCAUUAAUUGCCCCUAAGCAUAUAAAGGGUACAUUUAGUCAAACUCUACUCAAACGAUUGAAUUUGGGAAAACGGACUUCAAAAACGGGUCCGGGACGUCGAAUUACCCUAAGAAGGUCUGAGGGUUUUCGGGAAAAGGAAAGGGAGAGAGUUAGGGUGCUGCCACUUGGCAGUUUAGGAGAGAAAGACAAUUUAGAUGAACGGCUAGGAUUUUGUUAGGAUAAGGGGUAAAAGUGAAAAGUAAGCAAAAUUUUAGGAAGAAGAAAAAUUUACCUCAAACUUCCGGGUUGGGGUGUUUCAAUCUACCACCCUUAUAAAAAAAUUUCGUCCUCGAAAUUUAAAAUAACAUACUACACUGAAAAUACUCGAGAAUAGGAAGAAGAAAAAUAUACAUAUAUGUAACGAAGAGAUCAGGUAAGAGUGGUUACACAGAAAGGAAAAUGCCACGCCGUCGCGAUCGGCUGCAAUGAUUCCAUCUUUCGUGUCCCCAGGCUCAUACUUUCUUUCCCCCAUCAGUGUAAAAAUAUAGAAAACAUACUUUAAUAAAAUAUAAGGUCGAAGACACAAAUAAUUUAAGGCCAGAUAACGCCAAAAUAUAUAAGUAAUAACAUAUAAUUCAAAAACUCAAAUCAACUUAAAAAUGAAAACAGAAAUACUUUUCCAAAAACAUUUGUAACAUCAAAACAAUUAACUAGAGUAAAGGGAGUUCAAAAUACUUAUACUGAAAACCAAAACUGCAAAAUGGAAGUGGGUCUCGCCCAAGAAUUCGAGAUGUCACGUACUCCGAAAAUAGAUGUGUUUCUGGGUCGAGUCCCAAGAAUAACAAUUCUGAAUCUGCAUCAGCUGCUGUAGACGAAUCUUCUUGCCCACUUGCUUAACGAACCCAACAAAUAAGCUAUCGAUACAACGGUCUGCAGCCCGCAAUAUCGACCUCACAUUUGUUGUCUCGAUAAGCGAGUAGUAAUUUCUCAAAGGUGCACAAUUUCACAUACCGUAGGAUCGAUCCUCCAAAUACAAGUUCGCAAGACUUUUCAGUCAACCAGUGUUGUCCCUGAAAAACUAUCGUACCAGGUCGUAAAAAGUACCAUACACCAAACCGAACAAAACAGAAACUGUCGUCGUAAUGAUUCCAUCUAGCACCAAGCAUCCUAUCCUCCUCAGUUCUUCCAAAUGUGACCAACUACUUCAGAAUUUCACCAGUAAAGAACUCAUUUGAAAAUUGUACCUUGGGAUUCAAGAGAAGUGGCUACCAUGUUAGUAGUAGACCCAAAAGCUCGAACCAAGCAAGCAGAAAACGAGAAGUCAUCUUCCUCAACAUGAAGUAUCUCUUGGGAAUUGUUGUAGUGCUCAAUCCACCCCUCCAUUUUUGCUUAGUUGCAGAUUUCAAGUCAAACAAGGUCAAAGUUGGUGGAAAGAAGAACGACUCGCAAAUGGUCAUCCUAACAACCAAAGAGAACACGCACAAUUCGAGAGAAGUGCAAAGAUUAUCCAAUUCUCGCUUCGACCGUCGUGUAGUGCCAUCUCAGAAUGCACCAAACAGAUAUGCUAGAAAUGUUUUAACAACCACAUACUCACAACGAUAAGGUUCAGAAGUGAAGUAGUGGAAAUAUGCGUCGAGACGAAGACAUAUCGUUGGAAAAUAACCGAUGUGAUGCCUAUGAAUUCUAAUAAGAUGGUGAUGCAAUAUGCUGACCUUCUGCACCAAAAUCUUCACCAGUCUCUUACCAAAAUACGGCUCAAACUUCACCCCCAUGAUGAACUCUUUCUGAUAAGUCUGGUAAGCUUGUGAAAAGAUUAUGCUCCCAACAUUCAUGUCUGAAUCAACACGAACUGGGUGCCCACUUUCACCCAAACGAUCGAUUGUGAAUUUCUCACUGAUUAGGCGAGAAACCAUGCCGAGAAGGCUAAAAGAACACUUAAGAAUUUGAGGAUCAAAACAAAUCCAUUAAAUAUAGAGUAUAAGAUAUCAGGAUUUGAACUAGAAACCAUGCCGAGAACAAACAUUUUUUUUUCCACCCUCCAAAUAAUGUUCCGGCAUGAUCCAGUUCACAUUGAGAAACAAACAAGCGAAGGAAGGUAAAGAUGCAGAAAUAGAAAUCACUGUUUCUGAUUAUUUUGCAAAUCAUCACAGUAUGGUCAACUGGUUUCUUAGCUAAAAAGGAAAUAGGUCCAAGCUCAAGAAUAGUUAAAAACUGAUAAUAAAGCUUGACGAGGCCAAAAACAUUUCGAAAUUCAUAAUACUUUGUGAAAGCUGUUUCCAAGUUCAAAAAUUAAACAUAGAACCUCUGAAUCAGCAGAAUGGCGAAGAAGAAAGAUACAAAGCAACCUGCGUAUGCAUGCAGUGACACAAUUGGCUACCUUAAAGUGAUGCUCUUGAGCAAACCAAAGCUCAAUGAGUCCAGAGAAGUUUAGAGUAAAGUUUGAUCUUCAUACAAUGAUGAAUAUGAUAAAGUCUCAAGCCAUUACACUGAAAAUUACAAGACUGGACAGCUAGGCUGCAAGCAAGAGACUAAGUUCAUCCUCGUCGAAAAGUACGAAGGCUAGGAGCUAGGAUUUACCCCCAAGUACUAAACCCAGGUGAAGUUCAAGGAAUCUGUUUAUCCAAACAAGACUGGAUAUUCAUCAUCCAAAUCCAACUACAACCGCAACACGAAUUGCAACUCAAUUUGGAAAUUAAUGACAAUAGCGUUUGCUACUGACGAGUUUCUCAAGAUUGCGAUGUAGAGCCGACUCCGCCCGCAAUUCCUAGGGAACGCAUGUUGCAGAGUGGUAUCGCCAUUUCGAAUCUACAGCUAGUCUUAACCAGAAUUCCUCGAAUUGAGAUUUCUAAAACACGUCGCUUUCAAGUAAUACUGACUCUAACCUUCAUUCCCAAGGGAUGCACGUCGUAGAGUAUCAAUCCGAUGCUUAAAGUCGUCCAACAAAUCAAACACAUCACCGAUGAGGCACAAUCCCGACAAGAAUUCUUGAAUUUCAACCAGAGGAUGACAAUUCAAUCAGAGAGAGAUUUGCACAACUGCACCGACUAGCACAAAAUCUGGAAGUCGUGACAUUCAAAUGAUGUCAAAACCAAGACUUUACGAGAAAAUGAGGGAAUCCUAAGUAUGCUCUGAACAACCCACGCUCUAAUACCAAUCUGACACGCCCCGACCCUGAUAUUCCCUGAAUACUAGGAUAGACACGUGCUGGCCGACACCCGAGGGUGACGAAAGCCAUUAAUUGAUACAAAAGCUAAGAAUAAGAAAUAAAUGAGGGUUAGAAAUUUGAAAUACAAUGAGUUAACAGUUUUAAGAACGUGUUCAGAACAUACAACUAACCCUAAUCACUAAAAAGAAUUAAGAUAAAAUUUAAUGAAUAAAGGAGUGAGUCCUACAUUCGAGAGGAUCCGAAGAUGCUGCUGCGGAAGUGCCUUGACGUCAGGAUUAGGUGCCUUGAUUCUAAGUCCUGAAUGGGGGCGCAAAACAAAGGUGAGUGGACCAAGUUCAUAUAUAUAAUAAUAAUAAAACAAUUAUCAAGAUACUAACCCCCAAAGUUUAAUAGUGAAAACUACUAGCAUAGUAAGUGAUGGAUUUAAUAAAAAUUCUAGCAUGCCAAAAAUAUCUCAAAAGCCAUAUUGCGGAAUCUCAUCACAGAAAUCAAAACAGUAAACGUCUCAUAAAUCGUCUCGUAAGCGCGGUGUGCUGCUAGAAAGAUCACUGAAUGAAUAUAACUCCCGGCCCAAUGCCUGCACCUCAGUCUCUGUGCCCGUAGCCAGAGAUAACUCCCUCCCGGCCCAAUGCCUGUCUUCGUGUCCCUCAGCCUUUCGCUAGGGAUUAUUUCUCCCGGCCCACAUGCCAACACCAGAUCCUCGCCCAAGGCGGCAUAGUGUCCACUAGGUACGCACAAAUAGUUACGUCUCUCGUAAAUACCACUUCAUAGCGUAGGUUACCGAUCAUCGUCUACACUAUAAAGAGGGGUUCAAAACAUGUUCUAGUAUCCUAUCGUCAUCUGUCAGAUAGUCUACCAGUUCAUGGUUUUUAUAGAAAAUACGAUAUAUUGAAAUAUAGCUCAGUAUAGGCUAACAAUUAAUUCUUCACCAAAACACGAGACGAUAAUCAAUAUAUUUAAUCGACAUGCUUCAUAUAAAUCACUUCAUAAAUUCGUAGGCAUGCUAAUCAUUUAUGCAAUUAAACUAUAAAAUCAUGUAAUUUUAGAAGGGGUCCACUCAUAGUACUUAGCCGCCAAAAGCUGUGCCAUUAGCGAAGACGGAAACGUCACCAUUAAUUGCCCCUAAGCACAUAAAGGGUACAUUUAGUCAAACUCUACUCAAACGAUUGAAUUUGGGAAAACGGACUUCAAAAACGGGUCCGGGACGUCGAAUUACCCUAAGAAGGUCUGAGGGUUUUCGGGAAAAGGAAAGGGAGAGAGUUAGGGUGCUGCCACUUGACAGUUUAGGAGAGAAAGACAAUUUAGAUGAACGGCUAGGAUUUUGUUAGGAUAAGGGGUAAAAGUGAAAAGUAAGCAAAAUUUUAGGAAGAAGAAAAAUUUACCUCAAACUUCCGGGUUGGGGUGUUUCACAAUUUGACAUCAGAGCCACUCCCGGCCGGAAAUGUGCCGACAAGGGCGUCAGGUUCCUAAAGAAGGUGGAUUGUAAGAUCCCACAUCGUCCGGGGGAAAUGAGGUGAUGUGCCUUAUAUAUACUUGUCCACCUCCCUAUACGAAGACGCUUUUUGGGUGGAAACCCAAGAACAAAUCCAUGAGGGCGUGACCCAAACCGGAUUGACAUUUUUACCCCCGUUUUAACUGUUAUUUAUUUUUAUAUUUAUAACAAACAAUAUAUCUACACUUACUUUAUUUAGUAAAAUGACGGAUUUAGCCAGCGUGAUCUAUCUGCUUCUUUGACUAAAACCCUCGUAACGCUCUUACCCUGCAACAACGCCGCCUCCAGACCGCUCCUCCGCAAGUUUUUCCGAAUCACACGUCGGUCUUCUCCAUUGACUUAAUCCUCGAGACCUCACCAUCAAGUAUUCAAGGUAUGGAUGUGUAUUGAUCUCAAGUAAAUCAUCCCCACAUCACCCUUUUCUCCAUCCACAAGUUUUCGCGUCAGGGGAGCAACCCACUGCAAGAUAUUUUCGUAGAUUUCGUUUUUUUUUUUUUGGGCCGCGGGGUGGGGGAGGGGGGAGCAUCCUCCAUCUCUUCAAAUUAACAAAUUCCAUCACUUGGGGGUCAGAAUCAAGAUAUAAAGAUGGUGGGAAAUGGAAGAAACCCGAAGCAAAAUUGGGAAAUUUGGGUCUGCUCUUUGAAUGCCUCAGAGAAAUUUAGUUGAAUUUAUCUGUGAAAUUGUUGUUUUUUGUUCCUAAUGUGCUAUUGAAAGCUCUGGAGGCAGAGCACCCAAUAAUCGACUCCAAUUUCCAGACGAACACAAGGUCAUCUUCUCUGCAGGUUCUUCUCUACCAGGUCAGCAUCUAUACGUUACAAUAAUGUACUAUAUAUAUAUAUAUAUAUAUAUAUAUAUAUAUAUAUAUGUAAGUAUGGAUGUAUACGUCUGCAAGUUUGUUUCUAUUUUUCGCAUCAUCAGGUGCUUAAAGUUUUGAAUGUCAUGUUUUAUUAUUUGUACCAAUUGGGUUCUUUGGUAUCUGAUUGGUUGAUUAUGUCUGUGAACUUUUUGGGUUUAUUGGGUUUUUAGUUCUUGGUUGUUCCUUUUGAGCAAGAUUUGAAUUUUUGUUUCUCUUCUAGCAAUUAAUGAUGCUUGGUUAUUUGAUAUUUGUAGAGAAGUGGGCUUAAUUUGAAAAGAGUUUUAUAGAAAGGAGAACGCGGAGUGCCGGGUGGCUGGAAGAGGCGGAAGAGCUCAUCAUGUCAAUGCCAGAAAAGCCUAAUUGGGUACGGACACAUGAUGACCUGAGGAGAGGGAACCUUGCGUUCAAGCACUUUACUGAACUGGAACCAAUGUCUAAGAUUGUUGGUCAUUGAUGAAAAUGAAAUUGGAAC
rnacentral:lncRNA from 1 species